rnacentral:lncRNA from 1 species
UUUUUUUUUUUUUUUUUUUGUAAGCCUCCCUUCAUUUAUUUAUUUUUCAAUCAUAAUACUACAUUCAAUAGAAAAGUUUAAAGUAGAAUUGUUAAGGAUGUAAGCUGAAAAUACAGAUUUAAACCCAUUGUUUUAAAUCCAUUAAGAUUUGAAAUUAAUGACAAGUAGGAUGUUCACUGUAGCCAAGUACUUAUUAGAGCAAUUCAACUUUAUCCUCUUAAAUUCUAUCAAACAAUAAUCCAACCAUUUAGUACUUUAUAUAUAUAUGUAUGGUGACAAUAAUUGAAGUUGAGGUUUAAAUGAAUUUGCAGAGAAGGAGAAAGAUAAGUGGAAGAAGUCAAGAACGCACCUCGAAAGAAAUUGAAAGUUGGGUAAGCAUUUAAUUGUGAGGGGUUCGGGUAUUGACUUUCUCCAUUAUUAUCAUUAUUAUUAUUAUCAUUAAUGUAGUUAAAAGCUUAUGAUAAUUUUAGGGUUUCUCUGAGGAGUUUUUCAGUUUCUUCAUGUAGUAUAAAAUUCUGUUUGUGUCUUAUUGUUGUAAUGUUUUCCAAUGUGUGCAUUAUUAGAGAGAGUCUAGGGGGAAGCCCACACCUUACUGCCUCUAUAUAUAAGUCUAAUAUAUAUAACAUUUCCAAGCUGAUUGUGUAUCAUUAUCUCAUAUAAUAUAUAAUGUAUUUUCUCAUUAUUUUUGUCCAUUUUUGUUCUAUUUCUUUCAGUGGAGAAAAUAAACAAGUAACCAUGCCCAUGAGGGAUAAUUUGGAUAUGUCACAUAUGACAUAUGUGAGUCUAAUAAAAAACAUAGGGUAUUGUAUAAGAAUCUUAAAAGUUUAUGAGCGUAUAAACAUUUAGAUCAAUUAUGAUAGUAAUUCUAUAGUUCUUAUACAAUUAUACUUUAGAGUCUAGAGUCUAGAGUCGUUUGGAUUGAUUGAAUUACAAUUUGAAUAAAAAAAGAAUCAACAUACCAUUCUUUGAUUUCCAAUUAUAUCUUAAAUUUUUCAAACAUAUGUAUACAUAUACAUACAUACUUUCAACCAAAUGGACCUAAAUUAUAAGCUUGUAACCUUAUAUCUACUUUCUUUCUUUUUAAAAAGAAAACAAAGUUUUUAUAUCUUGAAUUUGAGCUUUUAAAACCUAGUUCCACCCAUAAUUAAUUUUUUUUUAGUUUUAGCAAACUUUUUACCAAUAUUUUUAAAAAUCAACUCAAUUUUUUUCAAUGGAAAAACAAAAACAAAAUCACUAGCUUUUUACCAUAAAAAUUAUAAUUCCAUCCAAUUAAGCUUAACUAGACUUAAAAAAAAAGGUGUACUUUUACGUCUAAAAGCAAACUCUAAACUUCUAAUUCAAAUCUCACUAAACUCUAAAGCUAUUUCCAAUAAUCUACUACGACCCCCCAAGAAAAAAAAGUAUGCAGUAUUUAAAGAGCAGUAAAUAAUGAUUGCAACUCCAUCGAGUUUGUACAAAAUAACGACAUGUCGUUUAAGUCCAAAGCCCAGGAUGAUUUUAGGGGCCCAAUAAAAUUUAUCGGGUGUUAAAGUGGGCUGAAAAACCAAAAGCCCAUAAGAAGAUCGUCGGCAGAAUAAGCACAGAAAGUCAAAGCUUAUUUUGUAGGAUUCCUAGUCGGUCAUGGAAUCGAAUUUUGUCCCAUGAAAAUUAAUAUGUUGGAGUUUUCUUCUUCUUAUUUAUUUAUUUAUUUCCUUCAUUUUUAUAAAUAAUAAAUAAUGUGGGAGUUAUUUUAAUGAUUUUUUAAAAGAGAAUAAAUAAUGUCGGAGUUUUGUUACAAACAAUAUAAUAUAUCUCAUCUAAAACCCACAAAGGUCAACCCCUUGGCUCUAUCAUUUAUGUCUCUUCCACCUUCUCUCUCAUUCUUUUCUCUAUCUAAAGCUUUUCAUUAUAUUCCAUUUCUUCUGUCUUUACACUUAAUUCUUUUAUACAAUCUUUCAUAAGUGUAAGAUUCGAUAUUCAUCAAUUAAAUCAAUUCUAAAGUAUUUCAUUAGAUGUAUUUGUAGGAGAAAGGAACAUCAAUUAAACUAAAAACAAAGUUACGAUGAGAAAUCAAAUGAAAUUAAUAAUAUUUUCUUUUUUCUCCUGUCUCUCUCUAAUUUUCUGUUGGAACAGUUUGGUUUUAACUUCCUUGGGUGGCCCAUGACACCGAUUCAACGUCAUGGACGACCAUUUUUCUCCAUUUUUCACCACCCCCCAAUUAUCAUUCUAACAAUUAAUAAUGACAGUGGAAUUUUAUAUAUAUGUGUAUUUCAAAUUAUCAAACUUCUCCCUUUCUUAAACCCCUUCUCUCAAAACUCUCAUCUCUCUCUCUCUCUCUCUCUCUCUCUAUUAUUGUUUUCUUUUCAUGGAGAACAACGACCACGCCACCCUUCAAGCUGAUGAUUCCCUGCCGGAAAAUUCCUCCGCCGUCAGAGAUGAAGAGCAAGAAGAGAGUGGUUGGACUGAUUACUUGGAGGAUUAUUUCAAUUCGGAAUUUGUUGAAAGAGAGAGCAGUUUUUUGUGUUCAAGUAUUGGGAGCUGUUCAAAUUGGGAUGAUCGUAAUAAUAUUUCAUAUCCCAGUUAUGAUAUUAAUUAUAAUAUCAAUAUUGGGAAUGUAAAUUAUGACGAUUUCCCAAAGUCAAAUAACCUAACUUUCAAGAAAACAAGAACUCAGAAGAUUUUUGAGGAUGAUGAUUCCUUACAAGAUACUGCUACUUCUCCUAUUCAUAGUCCAAAAGUUAGCACAUUAUGUUGUUUAAUUUUCUUCUUCCCUUUUUAAUUUUUUACUUUCUAUGAUCUUGAAAAUCAAUAUUGAAAAAUCUCUCUGUCUUAGGUUGUUGAUCUGAAAGUGAGAACAUCCCAAGAAAAUCAAGGGUUUGAUGAUCACAUCACAAUCUUCGCUAACUCUACGGUAAUUGCUCUCUUCUUUCUUCUCUUCGUGAAAUUAAGCAUGACGGUUGUAAACCGUUGGAUGAUGUAGAUGAAAAUUUAUGGGUUUUUUUUAAAAAAAAAAUUAAACCCACAUGAUGAUUUUUGUAGGGAAGUGGAAGGCAAAUGGGGAAAUAUUAUUCAAACAAAGAGAAGGGUGUUUAUUCAGCUGAGAAAAAAGGGUUGUGUUUGUUUCCCUUCUCCAUGCUCCUUAAUUACCAUAAUUGAGACUAUGUAUUUUUUAAGCAAUAAUAUGUUGAGCAAUUUAAAUACUCUCUCUCUCUCUCUCUCUCUCUCUCUCUCUCUCUCUCUCUCUCUCUCUCUCUUUAUUUUAAUUGUUAUAUAUAUCAAGUAAAUAUGUGACAAGAAUUUAAUCUCCUCUUCCUUCUUUCUUAGGAAAUUUUUUAGUUAUGUAUAUACUUCCAAAGUUAAAUUCGUUUAGUUGCACACACGUUGUGUAGGAGUGGAAGUUAUAUCUUGGGAGUGGAAGUGCUGAAAAGACUCCAAAUAUACAAGUAGGAAAAGACAAUAUGCAUCUCGAUAUAAACUACAUGCUUUCUCAAACCUUAUUUCUAAUUAACUUUUUGUUGUUCAUUUAUUUGCAUGGUUUUAAUAUUCUAUCCAAUUAGUUUUCACAGAAUAUUUUUCCAACAUAAUAAUCAUUAAAACCUCUAAUGUAAACUCUCAACCUAAAUUAAUUAGUAUUACUAUAAUUCAUUACUAUUUACUCUCUCUCUAUGUGCUUGUUCUCUCUCUUUGUGUUGUUUAAUUUUUAGAUUAUUAUUCCACGAACGAGAAAACUUUCCUCUUGACCAACCACCACUCAAAAAAGUAUUCAUAGCUACAUUUAUAUAUAUAUAUUAGAAAAAGUAGAAGUUAUCCAAUUAGAAAAAGAUGGUGGGUGAGUGAGAGGUAUUCUUGUUCACGAGUUAGAAGAUGGGUCUUUUUCCUUAAUUAAAUCGAUUGCUUUAACUUAAACCCUAAUUAAUUAUCCAUGAUUAUCUUUUAAGUUAUUUGAGUAUAUAUGUGUGUGUGAAAUCAAACUCAUGCAAACAUGGGUUUUUCCUUUGUCAUUUUUCAUGGAUUUUAUAUUAUUUUAUUUUACAAAAGACUUGAAUGUCAAGUGAUCUCAUGAACUUUUGAUUAUUACAUGUGAACUUGGAAGCAAAUUUUCAAAACUUGUCAUGUGUGCCUAAUAAAUACUUUAAAUGUUCAAUCAUUCAAGAAAUCUAAUUUGAUAUUAUCUAAUAAUUGAAAUUAUAAUGAAAAACACAUUCAAUCAAUGUUUUAGAUACAGAACACGUAUAUAAGUUUGUGUCACAUCGCUCAAUCAAAUAAAAUUAAUUGGUGCCAUCUUUGUUUUAACAAAAUGGUCAAUCAAGAAUUGAUUUGUUAUAUCAAUUAAAUCAUUAAAGGAUGAUUGUAUAGUUUUGUAAAUCAAUUUACACAUUUUAUUGAAGAAUAUUUCAUGUGAAAUUUAUAAGUGUAUGAAUUGAAAUGCAUGUAUGAAUCAAUUUAGACUCUAAUCAUAAUUUUCUUUCAAAAUUGUCCAUGUGUCUGAUUAUCCAAUUUUUAAAAUUGGAAUAAAUACCGCACAUGUUUGAGAACUAGUGUAUGGAUGGUAAUCAACGCUAAUCUUCUAAUUAUGAAGAGUCAAAAUUAAUUGACUGAUGAAACUUUCCAUGUUUUAAAAUCGAUUCAAAUUAUAAGUUUAACAUGAUAUUAGUUCAACAAAAUUUAAAGGAGUUAUACAUAGAUCGAUUUCAAUGUUUCAACUGAUACACAAUUAUCAAUUUAGAGUUUUACAUUGAUAGAACCUCAAAGUUUAUGACAUUUGACCAAUAUGAUUUACAUCUUUAAAUGUAUGGCGACAAAGUUGCAUGCGUAGUACCGAGUGUUAUAAAACUUUUGCUUGGAUUGACAUGCCAUUAUUCAAACGUUGUUGGAAAGGUAAAAUGUUUGGUUCCAAAAUAGUAUAUUUGGACCCCAAAAAACAUGUACUAAGAAAAAGAAGAAACAAGAAAAAGAAAGGCACAAAGUUUUGUUUGUUUUCACAUGAAAAUUUUUAACUUUAGAAGUUGUUUGAUGGAUAAAUGGAUGGGUUGGGUGAGAUCAUUGCACAUAUUCUUCUUUUCACUCAAUAUCAAAUUUUCUUGUUUCCUUUCCUUUUUAUUUAUUAUUAUCUACUUUGGUGGAGAGAUGUGUUGUCAAAAGACUAAAUUAUUAAAAAAACAAAUUCUUUUUAUUCUUUGUUUUAAUAUAAUAUAACUUUCAAAAUGGGUAAGAAAAAUUCCCAUGAUACACUUGAACUUUUAAGAGAAAUUAAUAUUCUUAAAUAUCUUUUUUAAAAAAUAAAAAUAUCAUUAUCUAAUACGUUAUUAUCAUUAAUAUAAGCAUUCUAAACAGUUUAAAGUUUGGUUUGGUGUAUUAUUAUUCCAACGUUUGAAAAAGUUAAAAGUAAGAUUUUUUUUUUUUUUUUUUAUGAUUUAACAUUUUCAAUAUUAAAUUAGUGGAUGCAUGGUUUGUUCUGAGUUAAUGCAAUGGGAAAUGGGUCCAUGAAAAGUCUAGACAGAACAGUGGUUUAGAAUAACAAUAAUAUAGACAUAGAUAUAGAGAUAGAUAUAAAGGAUUAAUGUAAUUUUAAAGGGAAAUAGAUAAUAAUAAUAAUAAAAAAAAAGGAUGUGUUGGGUUUAAAUUUGAAAUAUAUAAAAGGAAAUCAAAGGGGGAGUUGUUUAAAUAAAGAAAAGAAAAGAAAAGAAAGAGAGAAGGGUGGAGACCCCUCCAUGUGCAAAACACAGAGUAGGCUGAGGAAGGUAGUUCAGUUUAAUGGAAAUUUGUACAUCAAUUAAUUAACUUUUUCUGCUACACUCACUAUAUCUAUGUUACCUCUUCUCCACAUUUUUAGAUGUGUAUUUAAUCUUUAUCCAAAAAGGAAAUUCUUUAGGUAAAAAGAAAAAUAUAUGUAUUUAGUCUUUUUAAUUCUUAGUUAUUAUCUGUUGGAUCAAACAGUGAGGUAUGUAAUAAAAUCUCUGUCCUAACACCCUCUUAUUCGUAGUACAUUAAUGUCUAUCUAUGUUUUCAAAUUUUGUCAAUAAUUUACUUUUACACAUGCACUUGUGUUCAUUAAGGGUUAUAUAUAUAUCUAUCUAUAUAUGUUCUAUUUACCUAUUCUAUUUACCUAUUCUACUUCCUUUUCUAUUAAAUUACUUUCACCUACAACUUGGCAUCCUCCAUAUUACUUUAUCUUGUAAGCUUUCUAGGAAAAUUUGUUUGAAUUGAAAAUUGAAAAUUGAAUAAUAAUGAAAAAAAAAAAUGUUGUAUAACUUUAAAAUUAUAUUUUGGUACUUUCUUAGUCAACCGAACCUAACUCAAUUGACGUACGAAUGUGUUGUACUAAAAGAAAAAUAAGUUUGAUUUUAGUCAAAUAUUAUACCUUUUGAAAUUAUCAAGAAAAUGCAUGCAUUUGAAUAAACUUAAAAGGUUUCUUGUAUGCUUGGCAAAAAGAAAAACACUUAUUUACUUUUGCAAAAAUGAUUAAGAAAAAAAAAAAAAACUCAACCCACGUGAUACAUCUUAUUAUAUAGACUUGAUACAUCUGAUAUACUUGAAAUACUUUUAUGCAUCAUUGAUAUAUACUUGAUGUACUUGAUACCUCCUUCCAAUAAGACAUUUGAUACACACUUGAUAAACAUUUGAUAUAUAUAUUUAAUAUAUCAAAUAUUUGUAUUUAUGUUAAAAAAAAAAAUUGAAUUUUUAUUGAAAGAUUGUGAGAAAAGAAAAAAAAUAUAUUUAUGGUAAAAGUAAAAUCCUCGAACACAUUAUUAUAACUCAAACUAAAAUAAUUUAUAUUUCAAACACAAACUAUUAAAAUCCAAUUAUAAUAAUCAAGGACUAUAAUAACUCACUCUUUAGUCUUUAUCUCAAACGCUCUAUUAAAAAAGUGUUUUACUUUUUUUUUUUUGUCCUAAAGUUGAUAAAAAUCAAUUUAUUCAUGAAAAUAUCACAUUAGUUUAUAUCUGAAAUGUCGUUACAUAUAUUUAUUUAAUUGUCAUUAAAUUAAAAGUUUUAUUUUUUAAUUUUUUUGUCAUUUUUAAUAUUUAUGUAUAUAAACAUGUGAAUUAGAUGUAUCAAGUAUACCUUAGGUAUACUAAGUAUAUGAUAUGUAUAAAUGGGAUUGGACUUAUUUGAUUGUUUUUUAUCAUAUUUACACAUACCCAAGAAGAAAUGAAUAAAAAUGAAUGAGAAUGAAUUAUUGUUUUGAAAAUUAGAUCACAUCAACUAAUUUCAUAAAAAUAAAGAAUGAAUUGGUUGGAAUAUAGAACAAAAAUAAAGUAACAAAAGGGUAGCUAUAUGGUCAGGGUUGGUUGGUUAGUUAAGCAGUAGCAUAUACAUAAAUCAAUUCAAUUAGAGAGAUGAUUAAUUAAUUAACUUAGUGCCCAGUUUAGGUAUUGCCUUAAGAUUUAAUUAAGUACCUAAGCUUAAGUUAAGUGACCCAUUACAUAAUAUUAACCACCAAAUUAUCAAUCAUGAUGGGGUUUUUAUUUUUAUAAUCGGAUGAACUUAAAACACAAGAAUUCGUCUUUAUUAACAACUACAAGUCAAAUAAUUAAAUUAUUAUUUCAUCUUUGGCCUUUUUAUUUCAUUUUUUAAUUUUAGCCUUAUAUGUUUUUUUCUUUGGUCCAAUUAUAAAAAUCAAAACUAGAUUUUUCUAAUUUUCCAUUUUCAAAAUCUCCAUUUGGAUUCUUCCAAACAUUUCAAAAAAAGUAAAUAAUGCUAAGCGUAACAAAUUAUGAGAUUAGCGGUCUAAAACAAACUUUAAAUGUCUGAAAUAUAAUUAAAAAAAAUAUCAACAAGCAUCCUAAACGAAAGGAGUUUAAUGUAAUGAAAUUUGGACGGAUAAGUUGAACCAGUAAAUCUUGAGUAUCAAAUGACUGAGUUAUAUUAACCUCAUCAUUUGACCAUUUAGAAAAAGAGAGCAAGUAUCUUUAAAUGAGAGAUCAGUCUUAUAUAUAUAUAUAUAUAUAUUUUUUGUACUUAGUUAAAUUAGUCGCUAUUAUUGUGUUAUUUCACAUUUGGUGAAAGUCCAAACUAAAGCACACUUGGGCAUUGGGUUAUUUUAAAAUAACCAAACUUGCAACCGUGGGAAAAAAGCAUGCAAAUGAAAAGAAUUAAAAGGUUAUGACAAUUGAUAAAUAUAUUGAAAUUUACCCAUCCAACCAGAAAUUCUUGUACAGUCGUUCUGGAUUGAUUUGUGGUCCGAUCAAUCUAAAAUUUUGAUAUUCUUGGAGCUACUUACAAUGAGUUACUGUGGGUAAUUAGUUGCCAACGUCGAGUGAGAUAUUUCUAAUUAUUAUUUCUUAAUCAUUGUUGUCGAUUUUUUGUCAAUAUUGUUAAUCUUAAGAUAUAUUUAUAUAUGCCUCUAGACUCUAGUGGCAAUGACUAGGAAGAACUUGUUGCACCCAUUAUUUUGAUUUUAGUGGAGAUUUUGUCUUUGGUUCAUAGUCUUUUAAUUUACUACUUAUUUUGAGGGGGUUUUCCACAUUAUAGUUCUUUGUUUUCAUACUCGGUUUAUUGUUUUCAGUUUGUCAGUAUGAUAUUAGAUUCACACAACAAUGAGAUUAUCGAUCCAAAGAUAUAAUGUUUAUACCAAUAACUCUAACUUGUGUUGAAACUCAAUAGACACAACAAUAUAUUACAUCGAUGCAAGGAAUUCUUAUACAUAUCAACUCAAAAGGUAACAAAAUCAAACUAGACCCUGACAAAAACGAGCAUAUAUUUUUUAGAAAUGUUGAAUUUGUCUAAUCCUCCCCAACCAAUUAACAAAACUUAGUAUACUGAACCAAUUAACUUCAAUUAUUUCAAACUUGAUUGAGAGGAAGAGAAUCAUAAACUACAAAAACUGAGAUUCCAAUUCUUGGGAUGUGACCACCAACUUUAAGUUGGUGAUUAAAUUAUCUACUUUUGCUAGUCUUUUUAGCUAUGUUUAAUAACUCAUUAAUCAUUUGAUUUUAGAUUUAAUAAUCAUAUAUAUUAUGAAUUUUGUCAAAUUGAACUUUAACUCACAAGAACUCAACAGUAAUUAGUAUAAUCGAAUCUUUGCCGUAGAAAAUUCAAUUUCACACUUCCACAAUUGUAGUAUAAAAAAGAAUACAAAUUUUUUAUCUUGUAUACUAAUGGAAGCUUUUAAAAUUCAAGAAUCUUUUUAACAAAGGGUUUUAGAUUUUUCUCAAACAUAUAACUCCCAAAGUUGAAAUUCUUUAGGUUUGUUUAAAGCCCAAACUGAUAAGAUGAUCAAGACACCAUUUAUGCUAAAUAUAUGAAUGUAUGCAUAUGUAUAUAUUAUAUUUAUGGGUGCAAUCUUGGUCUGACCUUGAAUCUACCCUCAUUUAGUUACAAUUAAAUUCUUAUAUAUAAAGAGAUUCGUCGGCAGCCGUUGAACAACAUAUAUUCUAAUUCUUGUAUUAAAAAGAAAACAUAAAACUUUUUCAAUUUUGGAAUUUAAUUUCGAAGCAUAAAAUCUGACAACCUGGUUCAUAUCUUUCAAUAUAGUGCAUACAUACAUUGUAUGUUUCAACAAAUUCAAACUCUAUACUAAAUUAAAUUAAUGUAUAUAAAACAACCCUUUUUUCAUUUUAUGUAUUAUUUAUUAAUGUAUAUAUAUAUAUAUGACAUAAACUCAUAAUUUUUUCUUUUUCUUUUGAUUUCUUUUUCUCAAGAAAAUAUAAAGUUUAAGGAAAAGGUGAGAGUAAAUUUAGGAAGGAAUUCCACUUAAAUUAAUCAUAUUAUUAGUCCCUGUCUUGGAAAUGAGAGACAUUAGAAGAGAAAUAUAUUUCCCAAUGGAUAAAGCUAAGUUGUACAUCCAUAUACUAAAAUAAAAAAUCAACUUUGGUAUAUAAUUAUUUAAAAUCAUACAAACAUGUUUUUUUUUUCUUCAUUUCUAUCAGUUAAUGAAAAUUUCCAAAUUAGGAAACAAAGUGGCCACAUUGAUAAAAUGAACGUACAACGUACUCUCCCCUUAAAAGAUUUGGUUUCAUACACCAAUGAACCUUGCUAUCAUUCACAUCCUACAAUUAUUCAGAACAUCUAACAAUAAACUAUAUGUUCAGUUCUGUAGUUUGUGUAUUUCAUACUUGAUCAUCAUGUCCCCACAAUAUUGAAAUGUUUGAUCAAUUUAUUUGAGUUCCAAUUGUUAUUUUGUUCACACUACGUAAUAAAUAAUUAACUACAUUUUAAAAUAUGAAAGUUCAUGAUUUGUUCCUUACCCUUGUGUUAUUUUAAUGAACUCGGUAAGAAAUUGGGAGCUCGGAUAGGCUUUACAUUCCUCAACGAAUCUGGAAAUUUGAAAGUGCGUUGACAAAAUCCAGUUAACAAAGAGACUAUCAUUAUUGUAAGUUGUUAAAAAUAGUGUUCAUAUUGGGAAUUGUUCGUCAAAUCUCAAAAAAAUAAAUCAAAACAGUGAUUUUCUUUUCCCAACAAGAACUAAAGUGUUGCAAAUUUCAUAGUACAAAAGCUAAUGUACUUGGCCACAGAUUUGAGUGUGUAGAUGCUAAUUCAUUGCUAGAGACCGAAAGUGUGUUUAAGUUUUAAACCAUUAAGAACUACUCUCAUGAUCAAAACUCAGUACAUAACAAAAACAAAAGAGAACCCCAUAAAUAGAAUAGUUUUUCUAAACUGAAAUUAAAAAACCAAGUGAUUUACCAUCAAGAUCCCAAAUCAUUUGCUUGGCCAUUUGGCUAAAUACCACAGCUCUAUUUUCUGAACCCUUCCAUGAAUUUCAAAAAUAUCAAAUAAAUGAAGUGUGUAACUUACCCUAUACAUACAAUGGCAUUCAAGAGCUCAGUACUUAGAGAAAACUUGCAACUGAGAAGCGUAUGUAACGAUAAUCUCACAUCAAAUUGACAAUAUGAUUCAAUCAGGAGUUGGGGAAGAGUAACAAAUGCAGUUGUCUCAUAAAUGAAUAAAAAUGCUGAGAAUACAAUUUGAUCACGAGAAACCAGGACUCGUGGAGGAACAAUGCUGCAAAUAAUUUAUAUCUCGACCCCGUUAUAAACAAAAUAACAAAAAUCAGGAAAAUGAGAGGUCAAGAUCUAAAGUUGCCAUUGAGAUAAGAUAAGAAAGCAGGAAACAUAUUAUUAACUAAAAGGGUCCACGUCCACCAAUCCAUAACUUGGUCUGCAUAACAAAGCAAAGCAAACGUACAUUGAUCCAGAGUUGUAGCAUGCACUCGUAAGUUCUAAAAAUAGUUAUAUUAUAUCCACUACUAUCAGUUAUAAGCUGCUGUAAACACAAACUUGAUGGUUUUUAGAAACCGUGAAUCUUGAUGUUUUCCUUCUUCACAAUACCAGCCUAUCAAUGCAGAAAAAGAGGAGCAUAUAUCAAAAACGAUUACCGAACAAAUAUUUAAUAUCUAUUUAUAGUCAACCAUUACCUGCACAAGGAAUGUAGACACAUUCUUUCUUUGGUCUCCCUGAAGUUGUAUAACCUGCAGGGCAACAACCGUUACACACGAUGUAAUUGAUUGGCAUGGCAUAUUGUCUGAUAUUCCAGAAUAGGAAACAAAGAAAGAAAAGCAUGUUCAUCCAAGCAGUCCUAAUAUCUUGUUAUAUGCAACAGUACCAAUAACACCAUAUAGAUUCUUGUUCAUGAUAUGUAACCAAACCACAACCCAUAAUGAAAACACUCCCUGCCGAUAGCUUUAUGCCGAAUGAAACCAAUUGACUGCCAACUGACUGGCAGAUCAAACUUCCCAUGAGUUGGUUCUUUAAACUCUUUUUUGCCUAGAUAGAGCAGCAUUGACAUUAUAUUAAUCUUGCACCCUCAAUUGUUCUAACAAUAAUCCCUACACCAACCUUCUCUCCACUUUAUAUAAAAUUGGAAACUAAUUCUUUUAGUUCUAAUGUUCGGUGAAUCAACGAAAAAGGGAGGAGCUAAAUAUAAAUAAUUAAGGGUAGAAGAGGACAACAGACCUGGCCUAGCUCAGGGUCUUGAACAACUGUGCCAUUACAGCAAAAUUCCUUCUUCAGGUCCUUAAGAAUCUUGUUAUAACUAAAUUCCUUCUUCAAUCCUUGAACAGUUGUCAGACUUUUUCUCCCGUUGCGUUGCUGUAUGCGCACAUGAACAUACUCUUUUGCUCCGGCUCCUGAGUCCUCAGCAUUUGCAUCAGCAAAUGGGUCUAACCAUCAAACCAAAUUCAUCAAAGUUAGUUAAAACGAACAUUCAGGCUUCUUAUACAGUACACAACACACUAAAAGUAAAAACAAAGAAGAGGGACUUGUGAAGGUACCAAAAGCAGAUGGAAUCUGCACGUUGAAUUCAGACAUGAAACUUGGCUGUCCGGAGUAGAACACAGGUAACCAGCAAAAGCUUUGAGCUCUUAAAUUCAGCUGCUCUAAACUGCAAAACAUAACAGGCCCACAGAGUUGAGUGUUGAAAGCACAUGGAUACAAAAAAACGCCUAAACUCGUCCAAAAUCAAUAAAAAGAACAUAAUCCACCCACGCCCUACUUUAAAUCUUUGAUCCACUGGAUCCCCACAUCCCACCAUAGACUCCCUUUCAAACAAAGAUCAAAAGAGCACAGCCUCAACAAUUAAAAAAAAAAAAAAAAAACCAAAGUUGAGUCUCUUUUACUAUUAUCUCCAAAUCGAAGAAAACUAAACGAUCUACAAAGGGAUCGAACAAUUAGAGUGAAAAAAAAACCCCAUAUAUCUGCUCCUCUCCAAAAAAACCAGACAACCAAUCAUGUGUUCAACCUAAAUCAUAUGUCUAAACCGUUUGUUUCUUAAAAUCACAAGGCGCAUAAAGGACAGAAACCACGCAAUCGAACAGAAUAACAAUCAAACAAGGUAUCAAGUCAUCAAUCCGAAAACAUGAAAACACUUACACCCCCGGAAAGCAAACGGAUCUUGUGGUUCGAUCCCAGAAACAGAAAAGAGGAAUGAAUACAAGCAACAACAAAAAAAGAAAAAAAGAAAAAAAGAAAAGAAACCCUAACCCAAAAAAUGAAAAGUAUGAAGAAAGAAAUAGGUUGAAAAAGAAAAGAAAAGAAAAAGGAAAUAAAUUAUGGAUGAAUGAAAAUGAAAAAUAGAAGGAUGAACAAGAAUUUUUACCAGGAGAAAAAGGUGUGAAUCCGAAGAAGAAGAGACGUAAAAGCAAAGGAUGGAAGUCAAAAGGAAGGUUAUAUGUGUGAGAGAAAUUUUGCAAGCCACACAAACCUCUAUUAUAUCGAUAUUAGUCGGUUUUGGAUUUUCUUUUCACGGUCCAGAUGACACAACAAUCAACUUCAUCCGACGGCUCAUCAUCUUUGUCCUAAAACGACGUCAUUUUCUUCCUUUUUCUAAAUUUAAUAUAUUAUCCUCCAUUAUUAGCGUGGAAUAGACGUAGUGCUACAUUCUGCUCGAUCAAAUCCGAACCCAGCAAAAGAAACACACAGAUCUACCAACCAAUCAGCUGGGUUGGUUCGGUUUGGUUUUUACAUAGUUGAUCGAACCAAAUUUUAAAAUAUUAUCUUCCAAUAUUUUACUUUAACUCACAUCUCUAUCUAUCUAAACAGAUUUUCCUAAAAUUUAUCUUUUAUCUUCGUCUCUUUCUUAUUAUAUUAAAAAGCAGAUUUGUAGCUUUUCCCUAUUGCCCUUCACACCAAUAAUGAAUCACGUUCCUAUAUUUUUCUUUUAAAAACUCUUCUUGGAUUCAACUUCCUUCCUUGUGAUCAUAGUAAAACUUUUUCCAAAUCAAUCCAUGAAUAAAAAAUAUACAAAAUAAAAAGAUUGUCUUUCUCAAGUAAUUCUUUGAAAUUUGUCCCAUUUUGAUGCUUCACAUGGAAUUGGAUGUCAAUUUUCUUUCUUCCACUUUGAUUUGAUGCCAGUGGAAUACAAUUCAUUUUCACAAGGAACUGCUUUUGAAGAUGCAACCGCUCUCCAACCAUUUAAGUUUGAGAUUUUUUUUAGAAAAGCAUAGUAUUUGUUUGGCACGUUAGAUUUGGUUUGUUUAAAAUAUGUGUACAUUUGGCUUCUUUCACUUAUAUAUUUUUCUUAAAUAUACAUCUGAUUUUUGGAGCAAAAUAAACUUUUGGUUCAUUAUAUAUAUUUAAGGUUGUUGUUUAUUUUCUUAAUAAUUUGGUUUCUAAAAUUUUAAAAAUACAUUUUAAUAUCUAAGUUUGAAAAAGUGAUAUUAAUUUUUUAUAUGUUUUUUCGCACCGUCAAAUAUCUACUCUUUUAUGGAACCAAUCAAUUCUGACACUCAAUUUCAACCCCAAAAUGAUUUGGGAAGAACGCAUUCAAGUUAGCAAAAAGAAAAAAAAAAUGAUAGGAGAGGAAUGAAGAGAGAAGGAGAGGUUGUGAAGUUUGAAAGGAAAACAGAGGAAUUUCAACACAAUUUUGUUGUAUGAAAAUUCUUUUCUUUAACUAAAGGCAGUACGUGUAAUUCUAUAACCACGGAUCAUUUUGAGAACUGUUUUCUAAAUUUCGUUGAUUAAAUUUUACUACCACAUAAAGUGUAUUUUAUUCAUUUGAUUUCUUUCACCUAUAUGUAUUUAAUAGUAAAAUGGCACAAAAUUUGAAGAUGGUUCAUUUUUAGAUAUACUUCUAUUUUAUCCUUUAAAUAAAACUUGCAUUCAAGGCCAAAUCACAAAGUGGACAAUCAAAAUACACUUUUUUUAAAAACUAAAAUCACUCUUUUUUGUAGCUACCUUCUACGUACGAAACAUAUAAAUAUACACAAAAUUUUAUAUUAUGACAUAUUUGACGAUGAAAAAAGGUAUAUCUUAUUUUUCUAUAUUUUAAUUUGGAUACAUGUUUCAAAAUAUAUCAAACUUUUUAUGGAAGACAUUUUUUAGAAUUAAAAAUGUUUCAUAAGGUAUGUCAUCUAUAUUUUUUAUUUUCGUGUAUAUACAUUUGUUUGCAUUAUGUUCUUUUUCUAUAAUUAUUAAAUUCUAUUUUUUUGUUAACAGAAGCAAAAAAAUUUAGUUAAACAAAUAUUUUUUAAAGAUUUUAAGAAGAAAAAAAAACAUGAUGAUUAUUUGGGAGGCUUUUAAGUCUUUUUAAAUUAUUGAUUAGGCUAUUUUAAUAACAUCAAAGUAUUAUUCACUUAAUAUAAUCAUCUUAUUAAAUAUUUGUUAAUAAAGAAAUCACAAUCUAAGGUUUAUAUAUAUGCUUAUGAUUGACUGUAAACUUUUGGAGGGAUUUCAAAGGUAAAUAAAUUUUUUGGAAAAGAAAUUUAGAUAAUAAUUUUUAUCUUAGGUUGCAGAUAAACCAUAAAACAUAUGAAAAUUGCAUCAAUUUAUGCAUAAAAAAAUCGUAUAUGAAUUAGUUCCGAUUCCUAAGGUGGUUAAUUCAUUCUAUUGGUGUGAAAAAUCAUAUCAUCUAAUAUCAAAUAUUGAAUAAUGGAAUAAUACACUUCAAUGUCAUGAGAAAUCAUAAUUAUGAUAAGACGAAUGUUCUUAUACCUUUACUACCUUAUUGUUUUAUUUUUCUAAAUAAGAUUUUAGAGGAGAAUUAAACACGUGUCAUGUUUUUAUUUGAGAAUUAGUAUACAAUAAUGAUUAAAUUUAUUCUCAUAAAUCUAAUUGAGAUGAUCUAAUUUGUUGUGAAAAGAAGGAAGAAUUAGACCUUUUAACCUAGUACUGUAAACAAGAAUUCGGGUUGUACUAUAACAAUCUAUAAAGUAUUUUAAAAUAACUUUAACUUAAUUUCACUUUGAAAUCCUGUUGAUUCAUGAGGUUAGUCAAUAGACAAGAAAGUAUCAAAUAAUCGCAUCAUUUUAAAAAUCUAGAAACCAAAUACAUUUUAAAAUUUAUAGAUCAAAUAUACGAAUCCUUUCCGAUUAACUACAUAAAUUUUGUAUUAAAAUAAUAUAUUAUGAGAAGGUAGGGAUGCAUUUGGACAUUAGAAUAGAGAUCAUAUUGAUGAAAAAAUGUGGUUAGGGUACAAUAUAUAUAAAGAAAAAAGAAAGAUAAUUAGAGGUAGAUUUAGAUUGUAUUAUUAAUUAGGAAUUGAAUACAAUAUAUAUAUAGAAAAACAAUUUAUGUGAAGAACAUAAAUCCCGGAACACCACACACCACACCCAUUUCCAAUCUUCAACCUAACCACCGAAAAUGCAGCAAUUAUGAACAAAUUUACCCAUCCUUUAAUUUUUCACUUUCUUCUCUUCCUACUAUUAUCACUAAAAAUAUUAAUUAUGUCAAUAUUAUUAUUCCAUCAUAAUUAAUUUUAAAUCGUAUGUGGCGGAUGUGAUGAAGUUGGUGGUGCAAAAUUUGACUGGCUCUUUGUUCUUCGUGGAGGUUGAAGACGAUGCCACUGUUUCUGAUCUUAGAACUCAAAUCAAUGCUCAUCCUCACCAACACAACCUCCCUUCUCACCGUUUGAUCUUCAUUCCCGACCACAAUCCCGAACGUCUCAUCUCCCAGGUCGAUGAUGGAAUCUCACUCGUUGAUUUUGGCUUACGUGAUGGCUCCCACAUUUACAUCUUUUUCUCUCCCCUUCAUGACGACGAUGGUGAUGACAUUGAAGCUCGCCGAUUCUUCUUUACUUCUUCUUCCGAUCUUCUUCUCUUCUAAACUUCUAUUAUCAUCAUCAUUCUAGUAACCCCCACCCCCGCCUUUCUCCUCUUUGUAUGAUCUAUGAAAAUUAGGGUUUUUUCUUUUCCUUUUUCAGAUAUUGUAUUUAUAAUUUUCAACUCAUUUUUGUACUACAUCAUACACAAUUAAUUCUUUAUUCAUCGGUUGAAUUAUUGUGGGGGUGAAGGUAUGAGAAGUUACGUUUUGUUUUAAUGUUAUUUAACACACCAAUAUGUCAAUUUGGUUACUCUAUAGGAAUUUUUGUCCAAUAUUUCACAUGGUUUUGUUUUGUUUUUUCGUUUUUGAAUAAAAACAACCCAAAUAAAUUUUAAAAAGAAAAUCAACAAACAUAAUGCUAAUCCACUGAUCAUCUAACGAUCGAAAAUGGUGAAAAUUAUUUGAGCAUUCAUGAUUCAAAUCUCCCUAAUAAAAAAACAUUGAUUAUUUUAUACAAAAUUUCCAUACAAUUAUAAAUAAAAUCAUUAAUUUAUGAAAUGAAUUGAGGGAAUAAAAUUGUAAAUCACUCUUUCUAUCUAUAAUAUCUUUUAAACCACUUUCCAUUUAUGAAUUUAAACUAGUUGUCUUUUUAGUCUCAUAAAUAUAAUAAAACAAGAAAACAAAACUAGUAAAUAUAGGAAUUAAAAAAAAAAAGUGUUAUAUUAUUUUAGUUAGCUAUCUCAUUCUCAUCAUAUAUUUAUUUAUACAAAUGUCUUUAUCAAUAAAAUUCACCACGGCUAACGGUGCCUUUAAAAACAUAAAGAAAAUCGCCAUUUUCAACCCCAUGCCAUCUUAAACUACGCUUAUCUCUCAUAAUCCUUUGUUUAUGAAUAAACAAAUACUCAUCGUCCGGAAGAAUUUUUCCGGACAAAAGCAGUUCUCUGACGUCGUUCACGGUGCUCGAAUCCUUCAUUUCCAUUGGAAUGCACGCUGCAUUAAGCAAGCUCGACGACAUCUCCACCACGAAACUCACCUUCCUCCUUGAAGAAUCUUCGCUCAAAUAACGACUCAUCGUUUUCAUAAACACAAUCACUUCCGAAAAUUCACCGAUUCCGAAUUCGCUUAGGUUCUGGCAAUCCUCGACUAGUUCCAUACCGGAGUGAAAUAGCGACAUUGUUUGAAUCGGUAAGCUGUAGAUUAUCUGGAUUUUCUGCUUUAAACUAUGAACCGUCUCUGUUUUGUCGAUGUUUAUGUUUAUCCGUUGGCCGGAGAAUUCCACAGCGAUCGGAAACUCGUUUGAUGGUGCGAUGAUUUGGUCGACUGAGAGAUCGAUUCGCGAACCUUCUGUGAUGAAUUGAUCGUAAUCCUCCAUGACGAGUCCAUCGAGUAACUCGCAACCAUAAACAGAGAGAGUUUGGGAUUCGAUGGGGAUGCCAAUGAAUUGUUCAAUUUUUCUCUUGAUUUCGAUGAUUUGUUCUUGAUUUUCUAUAUCUAUGGGGAAUUCGUGUCCCAUUGUGACAAUGAAGAUCUUCAUUGGAGUUCUCUGGUUAGGGGUUUUUUUUUUUCCUUCCUAUUCCGUUCUUGAGAUUUGGGGGAAAUUUGGUUGUUGAAAGUGGAGAUUUUAUUGUUGGAAUUCAUGCAGAAACGAUGCUCGAUUCUUUUGAAGAGCGUGAUUGAUUUCAACUGACAGCAGAUCGAUUCUUGUGAUGAUGCCACUGAAGAUGAGAAACAGUUUUCUCUUUUCUUUUCUAUUUUUCUUCUUGGUUUAAUUUCACUCUUCGUAAUAUCAACGUUCAAUAAUUCAUGAUGCAUAACUUAACUUUACUGUUUGUGUUAAAAAAAAAAUUUCAAGAAAUUGAAACUUGAGUUUGUUAUUUCUAAAGUUACUCUACGAUUUUUGAAAAUGUUUUCUUUAAAACAUAGAGAAGAGAAAAGCAAUGAGGUUUUUUUCUUUUAUCUUAUUUUCCCUUUGAAUACACAUAUAUAAUAUUGAGAAAACAAAACCCUUAAAAUUAAAAAAACUAAAGAGGCUAUAUUUGCCCCCAACUAAUUUAACAAAAUAUAUAAAUUAUCCCAUCAAUAUUAAGAUUGAUGAUACCUCGAUUAUAUAAAGAACUUAGAGUUGUAAGAGGACUCGUCAACAUAAUUUAAUGACAUUUUCCUUUCUAGACAAUUGAAGAUAUAAUCAUAUAUUUUAAACAUGUUAUUAAAAAUAUACUAAACAAAUUAAAAUAGUAAUAAUAAUAAUUAAGAGAAGUUAAAAUUACUAAAAAAAUUAAUAAUAAUAACACUUGAAUAACACACUUUGGUAAUUGAACAAAAAAAAAAUCAUGUUUAUGACAAAAGAAAAAAAACAAGAAUUUGUUCGAUUACAAAUUAAAUUUUGAAACUUAACGGAUAAUUUUCAAUUGUAAAUUAGUUGUUGUUAUUAAUUUUAGAGUAAGCUUCAACUUUUUUUAAUUAUUAUUAUUAUUUUUUAAUGUAUUUUUUAAUAACAUAUUUGGUUAAUAUAUGUGUUUUUUUAAACAGAAAAUUAGAAAAAAAAAUAUAAUUUUGGUUAAGAAAUAAUUAAAUUAAAUUAGAAAAGAUGAAUUAAUAAGAAAAUUUGAAGAAUGAGAUAUUUAAUAUAUAUACAUAAAUAUUAUUAUUUCUAUUUUUAUUUGUUUAAUAUAUUUUUAAUAACAUAUUUUUGUUAAUAUAUGAGUUUUUUAAAAAAAAUUAAAAAUUGGAAAAAAGAUGUGUAAUUUUGAUUAAGAAAAAAUUAAAUUAAAGUAGGAAAAUAAAAAAUAAUUUAAUUUAAUAAAGAAAUAUAUUUUUAGAAUUUGAAUGUUCGAUAUAUAUAUUAUAUUAUAUGUUGGUAUGUAUAUAUAAGUAAUGGGAAAAAGUGAAAUGUGUGAAACCCACGUAUAUAAAUAAUGAAAAAAUAAAAAAUGUGGGGUCGUGGGAUCCACUGCAUGGAAGUCGUAUAGACCGUACACGAUUUCACCUUAAAUCACCUAUUUUUAAAAGUAAUUUUGUACCCACCCUAUUUUUUAUAUAUGUUUCAAAUUUUACAUUAUUUUUAUAAUAGAAUCAUAUCUAACAUACGAGAACAUAUCAUUUAAUCAGAUUUAACACAAUUUAUAAAAAAAUUAACUACAUUAAAUUACAUGACUUUUAGAAAAUAAACAUUUAUGACUCCCCUAAACCAUACUCUAUCUAGGUUGCCCCUAGAUCAUAUGACUCACAGUGAAUUCAAAUGCAACUUUUCUCUUUAUUAAUAAAUAUUAACUAACACAACAAUCAAAUCCAACUUCUUAUUUUUAUUAGUAAAUAUUAACCUAACAUAACAAUCAAAUCUAACCUCUUACAUCUUUAUUAAUAAAUAUUAACAAAAAAUACAUCCUCUUAUAGUUAUUAAUAAAUAUUAACUAUAAGGAUUUGAUUUGAUGCUUCAAUUUUGUCUUUAAUAAAAUAUCGACCCAAUCAACGAGUGUAGCUCUAUUACAUAGUCCAACUCCACCAUUAAAGGCAAAUGCACUUGCAAAAGUCAAGUUUUGUACAUGAAAUUUUAUAAAGAAUUAUUGAGAUUGACGUUCACUUUAUGUACAUGAGAAGGUAGUAAAUGGGCACUUGACGUUCACUUUGUACAUGACAAGGUACUAAAUGGACACUUGAAAUCUGCUAUAUGUUCCAUAAAGCAAUAAACUCAUUGCUUGUACAACAACGUCCAUGACACAUUCACAGUAUCAAUACAUUAGAACCAAACUCGGUGUGGUUGAAGCAUUCUCAAUAUCGCGUUGAGGGGGUAUUAAGGAAGAAUUCACACACACAAUCAGCACAAGCAAAGGUCAACAUUAUAGUCGACAAAGCCAAAAGCACAAUCAGCACAUUCCAUGAGUACGAUCCACUACAUUCGAAAAUAAUCGAAAAGCUUCCAUUAGUUAGAAAGAAAUUGACAAAAGUAGUACACUAUCGAUUUUUGUUUUUAAAAGUAGCCCAUUUCUGAAAUUAUAUAAUAGUAAAGUAGAGACAUUUUAAUAUUCCAACUUGAAUCGAAGGUUAAGGAAAUAUAUAAAUUAGACGUGUGAUUUAAUUUAAUUAAUUUUGUUUUUUUUUUUGGAAAGGUGAGUUUUGGGAGGAGAUAUUAUAAUUUAGUACUCUCUGAUAAGAAUUAUAAUAUAUACUUGACCCUCCUUCAUUCAACGAAAAAUAUACAAAAUAAUACUCCUUAUCAGUAAAAUGCAAAGCACUAUUUGAAAAACACUAAUACUAAUAUUCUUAACCAAAAUUGAAUCUCAAAAUAAAUUAAAUAAUCUAUACUAACUAUACUCUAUUUUAAUUAUAAAAAACCUAUUACAAGAAUAAAUUAUUCUUUAAAUACAUCCAUUUUACCUUUACAUCUUUGAUAUGGAUUUUUGUAAUUUGAAAAAGAAUAGAAGAUGAAAAAUGAUUUUGAUCUGAAAGGUCAAUAAAGAAGUUGGAAGAUUUAGUUACCUCUCACACACACAACUAUAAUGAUAUAUUUACAAUAGAUUUAACUUAGGAUUUAACCGAACCCUUCAAUGAUUAAGAUAUUAUUCGUUUUUUCUAAUACCAAACAAGGUACAGAAAAUUCACCCACACCUCAAGUCAAAGUAGUAUAAUUAUCUCAAAUACGAAUAUGAGUUAGAUCAUAGGUAUUAAACAGUUGACAAUCACACAUUGUAGUAAUUUUAUCUUCGAAUAACUACAAUGGUUUGUGAUUGUAAAUCUUUUUUAAUUUUGUUUCUAUGUAUAGUAUAAUAAUCUAAAAAUUUCAUGUGCCCAUCCCACGUUAUGGAUCAGUAACAAUAAAACAAAAAAGAAAGAAAGAAAACAAUCAAACGAAACAUACAUCAUCUAAGAAUGUUUUAUAAUCAAAUAACAUAAUUAAUGAAUUUAAAACAGUAGUUUCUAUCUAAACCGAAUGUCAACCCUUUGAUCCAUUAUUAGACAUUUUCUUACUUGAAUUUUGUAAUAAAUAAUCACCAACUUGAUUACGUGCCAUGCAGAAUUUUUUUAAAAAAAACUCUCACCCUCUAAUGAUUUUCUCAAUUACUCCACACACACUUCUGUUGAUUAAAUUAAUCCCAUUAUUAAAAAAGUUUCCUCCGAAAAAAGUUAAAAAGAAAUUGAUCAUAAUAUCGAGCUGUUUAUUGGCUAAGUUUGUACGUGCCAAUAUUGUUAGUUAAUAUGUUUUCUCAGCACUUCUUCGCAGUACUGUGGCUUUGAUCCAUUCUCAUAGCUGACCAAACACAACUUAAUUCUCAUUAUUGCUAAUUAGGUUUAUCAAUAAUUCCACAUUCUAUUUUAUAACAAUAAAAUGUUUGGAUUAAGCUUGUUUGAUUAUAACCAACUUGGUUUUUAAAUAUAUCAAGCUUUAUAUAGAUAGUACUUCCAAUUGUUUUUUAAAUAAAAUUAAUUAGAGUAGUUUUUUUUUAAAAAAAAAUUGACUAAAAGUCAAUUAUUUAAUUCAAAAUGUGAAAACAAACUAAAAAAGAUUUUUCAGAAGAAUGGCCUAGUUAUUAUUGUUUUAGAAAAUAGAAACAAAAUAUAUAAAAUUCAUUUGUAUGUUGCUAUAACUAAUACAAAAAUGUACGUUAAAUAUAAGAAAUAGAUAAAAAAAAAAAAAACUAUAUGUGAAUCUCAUUCAAAUGUUCAAGAUAACUAAGAGCGAAGAGGUUUGGUAUUCGAAUUUUUUAGGUACCCAUAUGGUCAAGUUGAAAAAAGAAAAUCUUAUUCGAUAAAAUAUCACUUUUCUUUGUUUUAUUUGUAAGAAUGUUAAUUAACUUUGUUUAUUCAUAUAGUUGCUUGCUUUCUUUUAUAUUGUACCAAAAAAAAAUUAAUUCGAAGAUGACGUAAGUUAUUUUAAUUGGUUGUUUUUUUUUUGUUGAUUUUUUCUUAUAAAUAUAACACAAAAAACUAAAUAACUUAAAGAUAUAUAAACGAACCUUAGGGGAAAAAAAAGGUAAAUAACUGAAUAACAAGUGAAGUAUAUAAACCAUAGCAAAGAUUUUUUUUUUUUAUAUAUAUAUUUUUCUAAAGGAAUGUCUAAAAGUCAAAAAUGUUAUUUUAGUUAAAGUCACUUAGCUUCCAACGAAUCAAAAUUAAAUUAAAUUAUAAAAGAACCUCUAGAGAUCAGAAGAAAAGUCAUAUAUGACAGAUUGUAAUUCAUGAACUGUUCAAACUUCAAACACUAAAAUUUCCACUAUAAAAAACCCAACCAUCUUUGAAUGCAAUCAUCAUUAUAUCUCAAAACAUCAUUUAAGUGUCUAUCCAAAGCCAUAUUUUGUCUUCUUUUCUUCGUAUAGAAUUACCAUGGCCAUUACUCCAAAGCUUUUCUUCCUUCUCCUUUUGCAGCUAAUAUUUGUAUCAACAUCUCUCUCAAACAUCGCCAGAGCAAAUGAGUUGGCGGUUGGGUUUUACAAGAAUUGCUGCCCUGGGGUGGAGUAUAUCGUCGCCAAGACGGUGGCUCAAUAUGUUAAGAAACAACCAGCAAUAGCUGCUUCUUUGUUGAGGAUACACUUCCAUGACUGCUUUGUUAGGGUAUAUAAGUAACUAUAUACUUUUUGUUUUUUUGACAAUGAAUUGGCAGUGACAAGGAACACUAAGACACUUUUAUUUAUAUAUAUAUAUAUAUAUAUAUAUAUUGAUACUUUUAUUUAUCUAAAUUUAUUACCAUUAAAAAAUGAGAAAGUUAAAUAAGAGAAAACUCACUUGAUUGAUCUGAUAAUUAUUUGAUAGGGAUGUGAUGGUUCAGUGCUGCUAAAUUCCGGACCAAAUAACCAAGCUGAGAAAGAUGCCAUUCCCAACCUUAGUUUAAGAGGUUAUAAUGUUGUUGAUGCCGUUAAAGCUGCCGUUGAAAAGCAAUGUCCUGGUGUUGUUUCUUGUGCUGACAUCCUUGCUUUGAUAGCUCGUGAUGCUGUUAGAAUGGUAAUUUACAAAUUUAUAUAAAGGUUCUUUAUUUUUUUAAUUUUAAAAUGUUGAUCUAAAACUAUAACUUUAGACACGAACCACAAAUAAUGAUAUUGAAUGUUAAUUUUUUUAAGAAAUAAGACUUAGAAAAAGAUGUGAGCUGUGAUGAUUUGAAAUCCUAACAACUUUAAUUUCUAUAGAGAUCAUGAAGGAGUGAGUUUGCAUGUUAAUGUAAAAUCUAAAAAAUGGAUGUUGGAAAAUCCCAAUACUCUACUAUUAAGCAAUUAUUAACAACUUAUAAUAUUAAGCAAUUAUUUCUAGAAGUUUACUUUAAAAAAAAAAUAGUUUUUUUUUUAUAAAAAAACAAUGUUAAUUAAAUAUGUUGACGUAGGAGAAUAUUUAUAAUUAUUUAGAAUUGAAAAGAGAAAAUUUAUUUAGUUAUUUAUUAUUAAUUUGAAAAUAGAGUGGAGGCCCAGCUUGGGAAGUUCCAACGGGAAGAAGAGACGGAACUGUAUCAAUCUCACGAGAAGCAUUGAUUAAUCUGCCUCCUCCUUUCGCUAAUAUCUCUUCUCUCAAAUCAAGUUUCCAAUCCAAAGGUCUCUCCCUCAAAGAUCUUGUCGUUCUAUCCGGUAAGUUCUUUCUUCAACACUCUCAAUGAUUUACAAUUUCCUUUCGAUAUGAUUACGUUGAUUUUAACACACUUCAAUUUGAUCUUCAGGAGCACAUACAAUCGGAGUCUCUCACUGUACCUCUUUCUCCAAUCGCCUCUACAAUUUCACCGGCAAAGGCGACGCCGAUCCCAAACUAGACAAAUACUACGCGGCCGCACUCAAGAUCAAAUGCAAACCAAAUGACCAAAAAAAAAUCGUCGAGAUGGAUCCUGGAAGCUUCAAGACCUUCGAUCAAAGUUAUUACACACUCGUUUCCAAGAGAAGAGGAUUGUUCCAGUCUGAUUCCGCUCUUCUCGACGAUCCUGAUACUAAAGCCUACGUUCAGUUUCAGUCUAGUACACGUGGCUCUACUUUCGCCGCCGAUUUCGCUAAAUCCAUGAUUAAUAUGGGGAAUAUCGGCGUUCUCACCGGUACCGACGGUGAAAUUAGGCGCCGGUGUGGUUUUGUUAACUGAAUUAUUGGGGAAAGGAAAUGGGUGAAGCGUUCUUUGCAGUUUGUGAAGCUUUUUCUUUGUGCAUUUUGAUUUGAUUCGAAUUGUGAGCUGAGUUUCAUGUUUUCGCUCUCUGUGGAAAACAACGUACGGUCCUGAUUUAAAUCUUCAGUUAUCUUUUGUCCUUUCUUUGAAAUACGUGUUAUCAUCUUAUCAUGUGAUUAAAUCCAAUUUAUUCAAUUUCUUAAAUGAAGUUCAAAUCUUGAGUUCUUCUAUUUUUAAAUAUGGAGGGUCUAAUUAUAAUAAAUUGUUCUUUAAAAUAAUUUAAAAUUUUUAAAUAUAAGUAUAAAUGUUGAUAUACUUUGUUACAAUAUUAUCAUUCAUUAAUGAUAGACGUUAGUAGAUAUUCAUACAUGUCUAUCAAUAUUUAUGGCUACUUAUUAAUGACAAAUUGAAAAAUCAUUUUAUAGUUGUAAUUAUUUUCUAACAAUUUUUUCAUUUAAAACAAUAUUAGUAAAAACUGCUUUGAUUGAUUGAGAUGAUAAAAAAAGUUGACAACGUAUAAUAAAUAUGAACAUCGAUACCAAUGAUAUGAAAUUUAAUUUACAACACUAUCAUCUCUUAUAUUUUGGUUAAAUCUCGCUUUGAUGUUCUAUCAACGUGUAUAUGUAAAUGAUUUGUAUUGACAAAAAAAUUAAACUCAACAAUUGUUUAAAAUUGUUUAGUGUUACACACACAUAUAAUUUAUGUAGAGACUAAAACAACUAAUCUAAAUAUAUAUAAACUUUAAGAUAUAUCUUCAUUCAAAAUGUUAAGAGUUGAAUCCAAAUAAUAUUCUUCCAACUACUUACGAUAACUACCUAAAUUAUGUAAGAAAAUAUAGAGAUAUUUUGUAUGAAACAAAUAAUUAUUAUAUCACUAUAGCUUUAUUCAUAAUUUUAUAUUGAUAUUGCAUAAUCCAUAUAUGAUUAAAUUUUAGUACACACCUCCCCAACUUAAGUAUAAGUAAAAUAUUAAUUCAAUUAUUUUACUUAAAAUGUUAAAGAGUACUAUUAAAUUAAUUUUGUAUUGGGUUUUAAUAAUUGAAAUCAUUUAUAUGGAGAAGAACGUAAAUCGCUAUUUGGGCAUGAAUUGUAUAUAAGAUUUUUUGAAUAUGGAGAAGCUAAAAUUUAGAAUACUAAGCGACAAAACGAGAAAAAAAGAAAAACUCCAAUUAUCCGUACACUUAAAAACCCGCCAUUGCUUUGCGAGGAAGGAAGAAAGAAGAGAGCGAGAAAAAGAAAAAAGAAAAAAGAAAAAAGAAAAAAGAAAACACAAAGCAGCAACAAAAAAGAGGAGAAAUAAAACCCCUACGGUGUUCGUCCAAGCGGUCGGCGUUUUGCUUCGGAUAGUUCAUGAAGUUCAACUCGUGCAAUUUUACAAGCCGUCCAAUCUGUUCUAUUCUACUGUUUUCUGCGUGUUUCCUGAUUAUUAUCAAAUCUCUAUAAACGGAUUUCAUCGUCUGAACUACUCCAAUUUGGUUCCACAUCUAUUCUUUCUGAUUCGUCCUUGCAUUUACAAACCGGGAUUACUGCGACUUCCAAUACAUACGUCUUCUCUGUUUUUGUUCAUGUUCAUCCAUGAUGGUUGGCCGUAAACUCUUCAAAACAAAGCUAUGUGUUCUCUAUCAGAAAGGUUACUGUUCUCGCCCAAGUUGCUCCUUCGCUCACGGAAACGCUGAACUCAGGCGAUUUGCUGCUCCUUCUAUCGGUAAUUUGCCCCUUAUAACUCCACUUUCGUCUCGUCUUCUCUAAUUUUGGGCUUUAGGGUUGAUGAAAUGGAAAUUUGCUAAUCCUUGUCGUUUAUGUCUUUAUUCCUCAUCUCUGAUUGGAAUUGGUUUUGGUUACGCGUCGUUGAUUAUUCUUACAUUCAACGCGAACAGUGGCAUAGUGAUGGUAUUAUGUUUUUGCGUUUUUUUUUCUUAGUAUUGGUGUGAUUCAAGGGAUCUGAGUUUAUUUGCUUGGGAGAGGUAUAGACUAAUUUUGGACUGAUGGUGUUUUUUUCUUCCUUUAUGGUCUUCUUGUUAUUAUCAAUGUUGAGGACUUAAUUUAUUGCAUUUUUUUUCUCCUAUUAAUCUCUGGUCGUCGUACUCUUUCUUCUUUCUGUCUGUUAUUGAUUCUUCCUUAUGGUGCAUUGUGAGGGAGGGGCCGUGCAUCUUUAAAAUGGGCUAGCGCUAGACAUUAAUUACUAGGUUCUUUCGGUUAAUCAUUGAAACUAUUCUGUCUGCUGUGUAUUUAUAGCUAUACGAACACAAUCCCCCUCAUCUAUGGCUCUGUGGUUUGGUAUCUUGUUGCUUGCUAUCUUCGAUAUUUAAAUUGGUUCUGCUCAAGUCGUCACAUGAGACUCCACGCCUCUACCAAUGGAUAUUUAUUAUAGAUGGACGUUGAAUGAUUCCAAUAAUGCGAGAUGUAAAAAAUUUCUCCAAACUUGCAUGGUUACCGAAGUGGCUAGUAAAAAAUAAUAGUCCAGAUCAGACGAUUUUCAUUGGACUGGCAAUGGAUAUGGUGGAUUUUUUCUCUAUUGAGCUGCCCUGUGGUAUAUCUCUGGAGAUGUUUAUGGCCCUUGUGCUGCAUCAGCUAAUCCAGAAAGUACUUGUUGAAGAUUAUAAUUAUUUUCCAAAAUUUAUACAUCUCCCCCAGUUUUCGUUUAAUUAUCCCAUUACGAUCUUCUGGGUUAUGCUACCGUUGUUCAUGGGGCUUCCUUUUUCUUAGGAGAGGUUCUUCAUUUCUUUAUGCCUCCUGAGUAUGCCAAAGGACUUCCUCUUGGAGUAAUGCAAUUUUUAUGGGAGUAUUGCAUGAAGAAUCAAAUUUGAAUCUAUAUCAUUGGUCUGUACUUGUAUGAUUGUGUGGAAACUCAGAGAUAUCUCCCUUUUGGAUCAAUGUUACGUGAACUUAUUGUUCAGCAUGGUCACGGGAGUGAAAUCCUUCCUUCUAUUCUCGAUAUGAAGGUUAUCCCAUGGUUUAUUGUUGGGCAUGGAUUUUUCUAUAUCUUUUCAUUAUUUCUGUGGAUCUUUUGGAACUGGCAUGGCGGCACUCUUACUGUUCCUUAUUUUGUUUCUCAUCUUUUCCAUGUAAUGGUAAGAUAAGCCUUGUAAGAACUUCAUUGAUUCAUUAAUUGCUUUUUAGAAAUAAUAUGUUGCAGCAACUAACUUGGUAAAAUGAAUUUUCCCCAUCUUUGCAGGUAGAACGGAAUAUAGAGGAAAUGAUUUAAGGCAUAAGCUUGACAGCAGGCAUUCUCCCCUACAGGAAAGGGAUUCUAGAGGGCGACAUGUACCUCGUGGUAACGAAGUCACGUGUUUUUCUUUUUGAUCUUUCAUUGUUUACUUUUUUUUAUUAAGGAAUUGUAGGAAGCUAGGUUCUCAACACACAUGCACACUUAUGUUUAAAAGAAUAUAUGGACUGCAUAAUUCUUUUACAUGUUAUAAUAGCAAAGUUCUUCCCUGAUUUCUUUCAUUUUGUAAUUGAAAUUGCAGAGUAUAGCUCAUCUUGGUCACUCGAACGGCAUAGGUAUACUGUCACAACUCUUGUAUGGUAUUCUCAAGUUAUUUUUGAAUUAGUUCUAGCAAAGGAAGGGUAGGAAGUGAUUCUGUGAUGGAAUUAUGUAUCAAGGGACAAAUUUUUAUUUGAAGUCCUUGCAAGGUAUGUUUAUGAGAUUUUUCUCACAGGAAAAUGGUCAUAUGAUACUGACGACUUUUUUCCUACAAGAGUACUUGUCUAUCUGUUUAAUAAGAGAUUACUUCCAGUGCCUGAUUCUAUUAUUUCUUAGCCUUACUUCUAGUUUUUAGGUUUGAAGGCCUUAUGUGCUGUAAUAUUUGUAUGGCCCGAGUUCUAUAUUCUACACCCAGUUAUCUUUUCAUGAGUACUGGCAUAAAAAAUUACUUCUUAGAAUAGUUUACCGGUGGAUACUUUGAAAUGGUACACACUCUUGUUUCAGUGACCGUAAGAGAAGGAAAAAGGAACAUGGGGAUGCCUCUCGCGAUUAUUCUGGAAAUUUGAGGAUUUUAGAUAGGAAUGAAGAACAUGACAGACAAGGGAAAAUCUCAUCUGUUUCUAGAGACACUCUUGAGGGGCAGGUACAGAAAACACUAUUGUUUUCUAACUUAGAUCUUCUGUAUAUUAGAAACGGUUACUCCCUGGAAAUCUUGGUUGACCAUCUUUGAAUUACACAGUUAAACAAGAUUCAGACAGAUAUUGAGAUGGCUGAGCAACGCAAACACCAAGCUGAGGUAGUAUUUUCUCUUUCUUUUAGUUGCUUUCAACCUCUAAUGUUGUGGAGGCAAUAGGUAAUAUAUAUUUCCUUUUUCCGUUCAUGUAUCAAGUGGGGGGAUUCCAAUUUUUUAAAAUUAAUCAACUCUUAAAAUAUUCUCCUUUAAGAUAGUGUUUUAUCAAAUUUUUUACUUGUAAGAGGUUUAAGGUGUUUAGUCAUUGAAACUCUGUGUCAUGUUGGUUGGAGUGAGUUGUACUGCCACUAGUCACAUUGGCACACAUUUUAAUGGGGUUUGUUUUCUCUCUCUCUCUCUCUCUCUCCUCCACACACACACACACACACACACACACACACAAUAGUGAAGGCAAAUGCCAGACAAUAUCAAUGAUGGAACAAAGGAAGAAUAUAUGCUAGCACCAUAACACCAUGGGUGCCUUUGACACAAACACACACACACAUAUUGUAUAAUGAAGGCAAAUGCCGUGGGGAAAUUUACCUUUUUAUACAAUUUGAAUGAUUAAACAAAGGGAGAAUAUACCCUAGCACCAUGGGUUGCCUUUGACAGCUAAGAAUAUCUUUCUGCUCAAAAUCCAUCGCAAUCGCAUCGCCUUAUCAAUUGACAGUGAUUGUUUAUCACUAGAAGGGAGAUUGAAUAAGAAAAUAGGUCUAGCAGAUGUCUUCCUUAAAAUCACAUUAAUCUAGAUUGGAUCCAGAACUUGGGAAAGAAUUACUGUAAAUUAAUGAGACGAUGAAAGGGCAAAAUAUGAUUUAGCACCACUGAAGUUGAUUGACAAUUAGAGUAACUACCAAACUAGGGUCAGAAAUUGUUGGAGGAAGGCCAUAGAAGUUGGAAGCCGUUGAACUUUGUCAACGAGCAACAGAGAUACAAAUGAAGGGGGUCAAGCAUACCAUACAUUCCUAAGCUGAAGUCAAAUUCAUAAACUGGAAGCUAAGAGUUGGGUGAGAUCUGGUUGGAGAUCUUAGAAUGCAGCAUGUAUUACAAUUUCUUCCAAUUUGAUGGCAUUUAACCUAGUUGUAUUAGCACUAGAUUGUCUCAACUUUUUUUAAAAAAAAAAGAGAAAAAAGAAAAAGAAAAAGAAAAUUUAAUGAAUAAAAACUUCAUGAAUGCUGUUGCACAAAAGGGGCUGAGGAUCAUUGAGGCUAUUGCAGUAAAACUCAUGAAUGCUGUCAUGGUUCCAACUAGAACUAGCAAUGAUUGGGAGGUUUUGAUUCUGCUAAGAGGGGAAUAACAUUAUCAUGAUUGAAACCGAAUACGUCUUAGUGAUUGUGAUUGGUAUGGAAGUGUUUUGAUGACAAAUGGACCAAAUGAGGGGUUGAAGGAUUUGGACUUUAGGAGCGCAAUUUGGGUGGGUAACUAGCUGUAGGGUUCAGACUCCUAACUACAAUGAGGGUUACUAAAUGGUGUUUGGUGUCAGAAAUGGUAAGAUUUGUGUCUAUUUUUCUUUUCCUUUUUUUUAAAAAAAGAAAAAUUGAGCAACCCUCAAACUUCCCUACCAUUUUGGUUGAAGCCUUUUGUGGUGCAUGGGCAAGAAGCCAAGAAUAAUGUGAGUGGAAUGAGGUUUAUUUAGAAUGGAUCAGUAAAAAAGAGGUGCAACCUGACUGAUUUCAUUUUUCUAGAUUGUCGUGAUAUUCAUCAAAUCUUUUGAGGCGAAAGUUUGUUAGGUCAGCCUACCCAUGGAGAUGCAUCGAUAUAUAUAAGAUAAUCAAGAAGAUGAAGUUGCUUGGGAAGUCGGACACAGGAGAAUUGGGAAGAAAAUCAUGCACAAGAGGAGGCCAGAUGCUGUAAUUGACAGGGUUACUAAGCUAGACUGUGAGCCAAAUGUUAAAAUCUUGUUAGAAAAAAUGGUCUGAUUCAAUGUUCUUCUGGUGCUUAUAUUAAGAGUCACAAUCCUGUGUUCAUCAACUAGGCAACAAGGCGAUGGGUGGUGCUUAUAUUAAGUGUACUUGUUGGUUAGUUAUGGAGUUGUAAUAAUCAGGAGAAGGCAUGGGUUUGUCAGGUAGGUAGAGAUUAUGGUAACAGUUUUUAGGAGUGAUGUAAUUCAAAGUAGAACUAAUUUCUCAAAUGAAUUCUCUGCCAAUAAUGGCUAAGAGAUGUGGUAUUUAUUAAGGCUUUGUAAGUUUGUUACAAAGUAGUUAUAAGGAAACUGUUUAGGAAACAGUUAAGUAUUUAACUGUUUUAACUAACUACAGCUGUCUUCUACUCUAACUAACUAUAGCUUUCUUUUAGCCUCAUUCCUAUUACAUCAAGGAGAGAAUUCAGCAUCUUGAUUGCAUACUAAAUCUUUGUAGUUACCUAUUUUGCAUUCAGGUUGACCUAAAGGUUAAAAUUGAAAAUUAGAGUAAGUAGUUGAUUCCUUAAUUCCUCUGAGAUGGUUGAAGCUGAAUCUCUCUUACAUGCGAAAGUGCUUUGUGCUGUCUAAUGUCAUGUGUAUUGUUGGCAUUUUGAUCGAGCUAUGCAUUCAAGAUAAUACAUAAAUAGAUUCUUCCAAUGAAAUGAUUCUAUGAAUAUAGAUUGAAGAUAUUAGCAAAAUUUUCUGUCUUUGAAGGUCUACAUGGACGAGAAAAUUCAAGAAGUGGACAGUUUGACUUCUAGAGUUCAAGAACUAGAAUCUCAAUUAUAUAAAGAGAGGCAGGAGUGUAGAAGGUACACGUUGUUGUCAUGUUUCGUGCUGAAGGUGGACACCUGCCUCUUAAUCCUACUUUUGUUGGAUCUUUAAUAUUCAGGAUCAAAUCAAAAAUCAAGAAGUUUGUCAAAGCACAUAAUCGUCACUCAAGAUUACAAGAUGAACUGAGUCGGCAAGUUUACUUGUUCUAUUCUUUUGAUUGCGUUUUCUAAUGGUGAUGAAUUUCAGGGAAUUAUGGUCACUCUUCUAUGUGUAGGUCGCAAGUCCGCCUGCAACAGUUGGGGGAUCAGCUGGGGUCAGAUGUUAAUAAAAUUGGUGCCAAUGAAGAAGACUCAAGUAUCAAUAUUGUGAGCGAUGGAGAGGACCCUGGUUAUCAUGCAUCUGACCCUUUUCAUGACCUUCAAAGAGACACUUCUGCAAGCAAAAGGAAGAUGCAUGAUGUUCAAGAUAUUGCAGAGAACUUAAAACGAGGUGCCUUUUGAAACUUAGUAAUUAAUAAUUUCUUUAUAUAGAUUUGCAAUUUUAAACAAUAAAUUUAUUAGUUUGUCCUCACCCCUAGUAAGCUCUCUUGUUUAUUUCAAGAUGUAUCAAUGCAAUCUUCUUGUUUCUUUAUGGUGGCGGUGGUGAUUCUUUUUUCUUUUUGUGGGGGGUAUAUUUUAAUUACGGUGUUCUUCAUGUUGGAGCCUUUUUACUUCCGUACUUAAUAAUAUAUGUGCGCGUGCUACAUUAGCUGAUUUAGACAAAGGAAAUAAAGAGGCAGUGGGCAGAUUGAGAAGGAACUCUCGGUGGAAUGCCCAUCCUGCCAAAUCAACAUAUAGCAAAAUUAAGAUGGUUGGCAAUGAAAUCAAUGAUCUGAUACCUACAGCAAAUGAAAGCAGGCAAAGGAGGGGAAGGACAUCUAGUAGUGUUUCUUCUGCAGACAAGGUGACUCAUAUUUUUCUAAUUAAUUUUAUUUGUUUUCACAAUUUACUAUGCGCUGUGUCUUUGAGGCGUGGAUGUCUGAUUAGUUAUGAUAUAUGGAGUGCAAAGUCUAUAGGUUAUGGCAGUGUGAAGUGUUCUACUACCUGUUUAAUUUGCUUCUUCCAUAGUUCUUUAACAUUUGUUUCUAUCUUUGUCUGGCAAGAUCAAUUUGAAACCUUCCAUACAUUACAAAUGAUAUUGAUAUAUACUAUUGUUCGUUUAUGCCCUUAAUUCUGAACUCAAAUAUGCAGGUUAGGGGUCUGGAUUCAGGUGUUGCAGUGCCAUUAACCAGCAUGGCUGGCCAUGCAGUGGAUGAGGAAGUUGACAUUGACUUGGAAAUCAACCAUGAAGAGAAAGAACCGAGGGAAAAUUCUAUGGAGGCUGCAUCUGGCAGCCUGCCUUUCCUUCCCCCUCCACCACCACCUCCAAUUCGUGAAUUCAGUCAUUCAAAGGUUAGCAACUUCUCAAAAUUUCACCAACUUUUCGUCAGUUCUCUUGUAAAUACUUUAGGAAAAAAGUGUACCUGUCAUUUUUCUCGUUCAAUCUAUAGAUAUAACUGAAACUUUUUUUUGCACAUCCCAGAUCAAAUCCAAGUUCUAUCUUGAACAUGAAAAAGUUUGAACCAAACCAAUAUUGAAAGCCACGAGUCAUGUUGAAUAUGUUAUAAUGUCUCUUUCAUCAAUCUUUUAACACCUAUUGUUUAUAUCAUCUAACAUGAGAUUUGGAUUGCAGUAUGAAGGUGAAGAUCAAAAUGUAGAUGUGGAGGUGGUCGAUGAAGAAAAGGAAUACAUGGACGAAGCUUAACAUUGGGUGAUGCUGCUGUAGAGGUUAGAACAACUCUUAGUAUAGUGAAAGUAUUGGUUUACUUAGAGAGUUUCGCAGAAUGAGGUUCUUGUUAAACACAAUUCUACUUUCCAGUUUUAUUAGAAAUCAGAUAUCGGCAAACCUUCCCUCGUUCUAUUUCUUCUUGGCAGAUUUUGAUUGCUAUCUUUCGAAUUAUUUUGGCGAAGCAACACAUUGUGCACUGAUUUACUUGUUGUUCGUCAGUGAAGGCUACAUAUAUGAUUUACAGGUUCAAAGUUUCGAGCAUCCAAAAUGGAUCUACUCAACACAAAAAUGAAGACUUUUAUUUGAAGAAAAGUUUUAAUUUAUAAAUAUACCAACCAAUUUUUGAAAAUAAUAAAUAAAAUUUUACAAUUUAUUGGCACAAAUUUAGAAAAUACCUCUAGGGAAUGUUUGGCUCAUGGAUUUGGAAUUAGGGGUUCAAAUGGACAAUUAAAUAAAAUUUUGGAAUUAUGAAACCAAACCCAUGGGUGAUAACGUUGCUAUCUUUAUAAGAUUAAUUUUGGCCUAGGUACAUAUUCCUUCCAUCGAAAAAACUAUUAUUUUGGUCGUAGAUAAAAUCAAGGCUCAAAAUAAUAAUAAAAAAUGUUUUUCGCAUUUAAGACAAUUUUGUUCUCAAACUUAAAUGAAGUCACAUUAUACAAGACUAUGUUAGAAUCUCUACAUUAAGCUAGCUUUUUUGAAAACAAUUCUUUUUCAAAUUAGUUUUCUAAAGAGAAUUAAAGUUAUUUCUUCUCUAUCAAUUCCAUUCGUAUUCUCACGUUUCUACUUCAAGAAACAAAUAUGUUAUUUAGGAGCUUUAGUCUUAAGCUUCAUUUUCAUAAAAUGGAAGGUUUUGAUUUUCUUACUUGAUAACUGCAUUUCCACACAUGAGUUUACAGCCAAAUUUUUUAUCAUUUAAUCAGAGGCGUGGAGUCUCAUGUGACGACUUGAGCAGAACCAAUUUUAAUAAACAUAUUAAUUAUAAAUCAUAAUAAUUAAAUUGGGUGUUGUAUCACAUCAAUUAAUUGUUGGAAAAAUAUAUUGGUUGAGGUUUAGGUUAAAAAACUAAAAAGCUUAACUAAAAUAAGAAAUAAUACCAAUUUUAAAUUUUAACUAUUUCUAAAGUAUUUUUUUUAAAAAAAUAAAUGGAUAAAAACUGCUCACAACGUACUCGUUUGGAUUCAAAUACAAUUAAUAACUAUAUAUCAUUUUACAAAUAAAACAACACAAAUAAAGAAUUGAAUGAAGAAACAAAAUAAGGAAAAUACUUGAACAAAAACUAUGCAGUCUUAGACAUUUAAAUCAGCAAUUCAUUACAGCUUUUUUGUAUUUAAAUGACAAAAAUACAAACCAAAUAGUAAUGAAAUUAAUUAUGAUGUAUAUUCUAUAUAAGGAUAAUUUGGUGGGCUAUUUUAAAGAACAUCAUAUCUAUUACUUUAGAUAAAAAAAAAAUAAUAAAUGAAAGUAUUGCUUUUUUAUUAAGUUAAAUUUCUGCAUAAACUUAAUUCUUGCAAAGAAUUUUCGAUGUAAAACCAACCAUGUAAGCUCAUGUGUUGGAAUACAGUUAGCCUUCGAUUUUAUGAAAAUAAAGCUUAAGACUAAAACUCCUGAACAAAUCAUACGAAUAGAAUUGAUAGAGAGAUAGAAGAAAUAACUCUAAUUCUUUUUAGAACACUAAUUUUAAAGAGAGUUCGUUUUUCAAAGAGUUUGCUUAAUUUAUUUCAUAGAUUCUAUGAGUGGGUUCAAGUCUUCGAUAAUGUGACUUCAUUUAAGUUUUAGUUGUCUCAAAUGCAGGACAAAUCAUUUUAUCGCAUAUCUAUGUUCGGGACAAAUAAUUUGUUCUCUUAUACGAACACUUCAUUUAAUUCGCUAAUCUGAGCCUUUAACCCAAAAUUCUUGUAUCCUAAUUCAUCUUACUUCCUCACAACAUACAUAGACAUAAACAUUCUAAUAAUAUGAAAAUCUGGUAUAAAUUUUAGCCAUAUAUUUAGGAGAUGGUGAUGCAAUUUUAUGUCAACAUAAACAAAUGGUUCAUUAUUUGAAUCUAAGAUACAUCAUAGAUAAACUAACCUAUUGAAUUUAAGAUCUAUAUUUUAUAAAUAUUUUAAUUUAAUUUUGUUAUAUUCUUUUGAAAGAAAAAUGGUCAAAAAGAUAACAUUUACAAAAUAUUUAUAUUUAUAAUUUAUAGAAAAAUCAAAUGUAGUAAUUUUUUUUUUGUCAAUUUUUAAGAAAAAUCCCUAUUUGAAAAAAGCUUUUAAAAUCAGAAAUAUGAUUUUAUUGAUGAGAGUUGUGAGAGCUCAAAAGAGUAUUUUGAAGAAAUGUCUAUGCGGCCUAUCCCCUUUCCCCUUUCCCCUUUCCCGAUUGUCGCUUACAUUCUACAAAGAAAUAAAUAAAUAAACCUACAGUGAAAUGUUCUCCAAUGUACUUAUUACAACCCAGAAUUAAGAAGGAAAAAUGAAGUGGAGAAACGCACGAGAAAGGGUAAUGGGUCAUUCCUAGGGAUGGGGACAUUGGGGAGGAGAACUCAUCUUUGUUGAUAUCAUUCAUCCAAUUUGCUAUUCAUAAAGCUAUUGAACAAAACCCAGCAUUUAUUUUUUCCUGAAAGCUGAAACCGAGUAAUCAUUUGAAGGAAUAAUAAUAAUAAUAAUAAUGCACAUAAAAUCUAAGAAGAAGAAGACAGAAAUUCUACAUGUACACUUUCUGGCGGUCUCUGUCUGUCAUGUGCAUUGAAAGAAGUGCUCCAGUGAUGCCGACGUGAAAACAUUAGAGGCCAUCCUCUCGGGCUUCACUUCAGAUACGUGAAGCUGACACUUGAUGAAUCUCUGUGGCAUUUUAAAUCAAACAAACUUCGCAGAUUCGUUUUGAAAAAUAUGUAAGAUUUCAAUGUAGCACAUGGUUUUUAAAAGUUAUGCUAGUUUCCUAUAAGGUAAUGUUUGAAUUCUUAGUUAAAUUCUAAAAAUAAAAACAAGUUCCAGGUAGAUUGUAGAUAACAUAACAAAGUCUACAAGUGCCUAUAGCUAAAAGUAGAGUGUUCAUAAGCUUGAUUUUUAAGUUUAAUUUUUAAAGAUUAGUAAGUGGACCUUGGUGUGUGAUCACCCUCAAUAAACUUGGAUUACUAAAUUAUAUGGAAACAAACCGCUAAUUGAGAUAUGAUUUCAGGAUCUGAGUCGAUAUGCCAAUCAGGUUCCAGUUGCCGAACAAAAGACGUCCUCCCAUUUUCUGUACUACAGAAGAGAACCUAAACAAAGAAGUACAAAAUUCAACCAUGUAAACAUAGUUCAGCUAGCUUCUCACAGGAGGUCUUAAUGGGGAGGGAUGCCAAAAGCAUUAAGAAAUUUAGUAAGAAAAAGAAAUAAUAGACAAAAGGAUAUUAAACGCCCAACACACUGCAGCAACCAAGAAACAAGCAAAUAAAAUAUAACGUAAAACACUAGGAUCAAUUUAUCAACCUCAUAAGGAUAAGGAAACUAUGAACAAUAAGCAGUCGAAACUUAUGAAAUAAAUAAAGUUGAUAGGGCCAACCUUUUCCUUGAUCAAGCCACCUGAUGCGAAAACACCAGCAUCUUCUAGAGCCACAAUAACCUUUCUCUGCACAAAAUAUUUUUUCAGUAUUAAAACUAAUAAAAUGAUGGUAUAUGAAGAUACUGCAAAAGGAAAUGCCUUCGAACCAUGGAGUUUUAGGGAACAAGGUAGAUUGUAGCUCCCAGAUCAUAAACUGAGUACCAAAAAGCAUAAAGCUGUUGUAUAGAGUUAGAUUUUUAAUCCUCAAACCAUCCUUAUUAUUAUUAUUAUUAUUUUCUUUUUGUUUCAAGUUUGAGCGUAUUUUGACUGCAUACCACCAGGAGAGAGAGCACAAAUCUUCUAUGCCAACCAUUUAAAGUGAGCAUUUUGCAGACUUCACUUAAGUUUGGAAAGUUCAUCCUGAUAAAUUAGUCUCACCUCGCUUUCCUCAUCAAGAACUCUUUCCAUCAAAUAGAGAUCACAAUAAUUUGUGAUCUCUAAAAGCACAUCCACGACAGAGGACCUUACAGUUGCUUGAUUCUGUCAAUAGCAUUACCAAACAUCAACACAAAACGAUAAUUCUUUCUCAAAGACAAUUUCACUCCAAAACACAUAGAUAGGAAAAAUACCACAGCCUGCAGCUCUUCUGGACUUUUUUCCUCCAAAAUUAUUCCAAGCAGACGACAAGUUACCUAAAAUAACAAGAAUUGGAAUCAGAACUUAUCAUUACAAUUUGUAAACUGUAACAUACUUCUACAAGAUGAAAGGUCGACUUCACUGCGUAAGCUUUUGGGCACGUAGUAUGAUAAACAUUAACUUGAAAGGUUAAUCUUACGUGUGAUGAAUGGUCAAUGAGAUUAGACUUUAAAGGCUAUCCAUUUCUAAUCAAAUAACUCAUAUCUAGCUUUCACCAUAUGAAGGAUCAUCGGACAUGUUUUCAUUACCUUUCUUCCACCACCAAGCUUUUGUCUAACAAUUUGCUCCAAAGUUGGCUGAAAAACACCACACUCAUUAUAAACUAUGUAAUGAAUACUAAUAAAUUGUAAAAAUACACAUUUUUAGUCUAUGAAAAAGUUUUCACUCAGCUCUUAAGCUUGAAAAGGCAACAUAACCCUUGAGGUAUGAAAUCUGGUCCAAGUUGGUCUUUGAAAUGCAUAUUACAUCAAUGAUGCUAAUAGGAUCUAGUUAAAUGAUAUCGUAUCAAUGCUUAACUGACGUGUCAAGCAUAAUAAUUAAUAAUUAUAUAUACAUUGCAUGUUUGUUCUUCUUUCACAUAUCAAAUAAAUAAAAUUAAUACAACUUGUGACAUUAUCAAAAUUCAUUAGACAUGUAAAGCACAAUAUCAAUUAAUUUGCUCAAUAAAAUUUUUGCUAGUACCAGUAAGGGAAUAAUUAUUCUAGGAACCAAACUUCAGGAGUUAUAAUGUGAGAAACUUAAGGAUGAAAGUGAAAACUUUUUCAAACUACAAAUACAAAAGAUGUAUUUUUCCUAAACCACAACUGACCUUCUGUGCACCUGCGUCAUCUGAAGGAGAAAAAACUGCAGAAGUAAUCAAUUGUGAAUUUGAACUUGUGCUGAUGUCAGAGUUGCCUGCUGAAGAAGUUUGCCUUUUUGGUUGUCUUCUGCGAUGUCCACUAGGUGGUCUUAACAGUUUCCAUGAGAAUAUGACAGCAAGAGCCAAACCCGCAAUAGCACUAAGAGAUCGGAAAUUCUGCAACAAAUUAGAACAUGAAGCAUCAAAUUGUGAUCUUAGUUGAACAUCUGUUACACCUGCCACUGUCCAAAGAAAACAGACAACUCCAUCAAAAACAGGUAUUUCCAACAAAAAUUAGUACUUUGCAGCACCUGUGUUUUACUAAUGACACACACUGUGAUAGGAAUGCUAUGAGUAAAUAAUUAAAGUAUUAAGAGCAUAUUAGCAACUCAUUAAUGAGCCUGUUAGGGAAGUUUGAUUAUAAAUAGAGGUUAAGGGAAUGAGGAAGGUAAGCUAUAUUUUGAAGUAUGAACUACGACGUGAGAGCAUCUCAAGUUUGGGCGGGUCCAAGUACCUCGGACACUUGGUUUAUCAUGUAAUUCAAUAUCAUUUUAUAUUUAAUAUAUUCAGGUUCUAUUGUUUCUUUCCAGCAACCAUGUCACAAAAGUGCAUGCAACAACAAAAACAGGAGCUAAAAAACAAAAAAGUUUGUACUCGUAUUUCUAUCCUUAAAAAGUGUACAACAACCCAUCAAUAACUGUCGGAUUAUGCCCACUUUGGAUUCCUCAGGAUCUUGUCAACCUCAUUAGUUGAACUACUAGGAGCUCUGAAGACCGGAAAGUUGAAAUAUUUGCAAGGACAACUUAAACUAGAGUAAGUCUUCCUCCUUUAGAUAUGCUAGUUGGGGAUUCCUUUAGAUAUGCCUACUUUGAGGAUCGAUUCCCAUGGAAAGUUCCAAUUACCAAAGGGGCUACUAAGCUGAAGUGAAAGAGAAGUUAUUAGCCCACCACCACUAAUCUACAAACAUUUUUUUUAUAUAACAGCAUUCAUUGAAAAAAAAAAUUAAAGAAUACAAGAGCAUACAAAAACAAAGCCCACAAUAACAAAUUCCACUAAUGAAAGGGUUUCCAACUAACUAAGAUAUUGUCUAGCAAAUAAUAACAAAAGAUCUUCGAAAUCGAAGCCCAAAUAGAAACAUAGAACCUCGACAAGGACUAAAACUCACAAGGGUUCUUAUCCACACCUCAAAAUACUCCAUUGUUCCUCUCCCCCCAAAUAUCCCACAACAAAGCACACACCCCCAUGAAACACAAAAAACGACCUUUUUCUUUGAAAGGUGGAUGAAGGCAGAACUCCCCCAUCAUCAAACAAAUGUCCCUUUGGCGAGCAAUCACAAGCUCAAACUCCUAAGAUAACAAUUCUACACCAGUCCCGCAAACUUCCACUCCAAAGAAGGUGGUCAAAGUUUUCCUCAGCCUUCCGACAAACGAUACAACAAAAAUGAUCCAUUAACAAAGGCAUAUUUCUCGAGGUUCCAUUGUGUUCACACGGCUGAGAGAACUUGCCAAUGUCAAGGAAAACUUGACUUUCUCCAGACAUUGAUCCUCACCACUGUAUUGCAGAUUUAUGCAUCAAACCUUUUUUUUUCUUCUAGAAAAAAAAUCCUUUCAAGGACUACCAAAUAAGUGGUCAAUUUUUUAUUUGCCAAAGGGAGCAAGAGGAUUGUAAUUUGCAAACUGAGAUGAUCAACUUUGUUUCCAUGGCUCCUGGAAAAAACCUACUCAAGUCAAAAAAGGUACAGUAAUAAAGGAUCUCUUGGUCUCAAUUCAACUCUCUCAAGUGUUUAACUUCCCUCUUGAUCUCUCAUAAAAUAUAAGCUAUGAAGAUUGUAUGCAAAAGGAAUCCUCUGUUGCACAUUCCUGAAUUUGAGUCAAAGCCUUUUCCUUGAGAUUGGUAAUCACAAAUUCUGAUCACCAAACAGUACAGUUUCUCAUGGUUAAGUUUAUAGACCCCCCUUCUGCUUUUUUACUCCUCACUCAUCUUUGAGUGUGUUGAUAACAAGGAUGGGAUCCUAAACUUUUCCUUCUCCCACAAACACAACUUGACAUUUAAUAGUGAUUGAGGAAAAUUUGGCUACAAUCCCUCUUCCAACACUUUUUCCACCCCCUUCUAUUGAUGUUGUUAGAAUUAGCAGGCUUGUUGUAUGUUGAAAGCCCAAAGGUUUUCAGUCUUUUAUGUUUCCCUAAUGGUCUUUCAUUCUUUUAAUUAGGUUUGUAUUGCCUAUAAAUUAAUGCUCUCAUGUAUCAUUAGUUUUAUUAAGAAAGAUUUACACCGUAGUUUUUCUCCCAGAACUAGGGUUUCCACAUAAAACUUGUGUUUGUUCUUUGUCUCUACAUUCAAUAGAUGCUAUAUGUGAUAUUACCAUCCUGAAAUAGUCCUGUAACAUAGUCAUUACUCAUUGGAUGAUCUUGUUCCAAGACUUAUUAAAGGCAACGUGGACCAGGAUUGAAGACUACGAUCUACGAAUGAAAUUUCUUCAUUGAAUUUCAGUAAAACUUUGAAAUUGACACUUUGACAAGUGAGAUAGGAUCCUAGGUUAGAUGCCUGGGAAAGAAAUUUUUACCAUUUUUCUGUAGUCCACAACCUUUGAACAAAGAAGUAAAAAAAUUCAAGUUCUACUGUUGGUCACAAAUCGACUUCUCACAUCACUGGUCAGCACCUCCAAACAUCUACCUACAAUAAAGCUAUUUAUCCUGCUGGCCAUAAAAUUCUAUAGAAAAUGCUAGAGUUUCGAUCUCCCUCCUGAAGGGAUUUUGGUGUCACCUCUGAAGCCAUAAAACUUCCUUGCAUUGAAUCUAUGUUUUCAUUCAAAAUGCCCCUUUUGUCCGGCAACUCCAGGAUAAGGGAUUUUUUCUAUAAGCUCUUUAUUUAAAUAUUUGUCAUCAUUAUUAAUAUUAGUAGUAGUAUUAUUUUAGAUAUCAUUGCACCUUGACUAACAGCAAACAAAUAUGAAACACAAUGAUUAUAGCUAAAAUCAAACCACCAACUAGCAUCUGAGGUUACUGCUCACAAACAAUAAAAUCUUUUUAAGAAUUAGUAAAGUUACAGCUCUCGAUUCUGGCCAAUUUCAAACAAUCAUCAGACAUCAGUCAUAAUUUACCAGAGUGAUGGCAAGAACAUCACAACUUGGGAAAGACAACAAUCUUACUAAAAAGUCUACAGCAUUAACAAAUCAAUUAAGAGAGCCGGAUAGCUUUAUAUAUCAAUCAAGCGAAAUUAUGGGGCUGAGCAUUUAACACAAAUUCCAGACCCGUCACUACAAAAUCUAGAACGAGAAGCAGAAUUUGAAAACAGAAUUUCCAAAAAUGAACUGCAAAACGCAACGAAAUGAAUAGAGACGAAAGGAAUGGAAAACAAACCCGAGUUUGAAACAAUAUCGAGAAUAAAGUGGAGAGUUUAACACUUAGAUUACUCCCGAGCCUCUUGAUUAGCCGGACGAGCUCCUCUUUUGAAGAAAAUUCCGCCAUUAGAGAACCCUAAGACCCUGUGAUAUCGAAGAAUCCACGUCCGCCGCGGGGGUUGCUCAGUGGAUUACUAUUACGGCGGGAAGAGAAUACAUUUCCAUUCUGGUCUCCUCCAACCAUGAGAGCUUUCAAAGGAUUUUUUAAUAUUAUUAUUUUGAAAAGGAUUUUUUUAGUUUCAAAUAAGAGUUUCUGAAAAAUAAAAAAAUUGGCUAACUAUUUCGUCUAACAAAAUUCAUUAUUUUUCCAUCCAAUGUAAAUAUUUUAUUCUUAUUCAGUGUGUUUUUUUCAUCUUUUUUAAAUGAAAUAAGUUUUCUACUCUAUUGCUAAAUAUAUAGUUCAAUUGAUAUAAUGUUUAAGUUUUAAAAUUAAGUUGUUUGACUCAUCUAUCUUGUAUACAUACAUAGUUAAAAUAGUAAAUAAAUAUCACCUUUGAUAAAUUUUAACCUUGAAUAAUGAAAAGUUUUACAUUGAUUAAUUGUAAGUAAUAUUUACUCUACUUUUUAUACCAAGUCAAAUUUUACUCUUUAUUUUAUUAAAAGAAAUAACUUUUUUGGAACAAUCUUAAAGUUAGAAGAGCAAAAUUAGAAUUUUCCUGAGGUUCAGCCAAUUAACUAAAACUUAAUUCAAAAUUUUAAUUAAGGAUACUUAUGUAUAAUCUAACCAUUAUUAUUGUUAUAUUAUUAAAAAAUUUCAUGAUUUUUUUUCUCUAUUAAUGGAGCAAAAUCGACCUGAAAAUUACAAUGAAUUAUAAUACUAUGUUUUCUUAAUUUAUCAUUGAUUUACAUCCAAGAAGUCAGAUAGUAAAAUCCUUUAUUAUUUUCUUGUAAAAAGGUAUACAUAAGGAUUAGCCCAUAAACAGUUAAAAAAAUUUAAACCCAAAAGGAAUUUUAGAUCUAAAAAUUUAAUUUUUUUUUUAUGUAAUUUCUAUUUUUAAUUAUAUAAACUUAAAAACUUAAAAUAUCAUAAUCAAUUAGCUAAACUCAAAUUGAGUGGUUAUUUAAAAAUGGACGGUAUAUCUAACAGUCUUAACACUUUGCGUGUUUUUAGAAUAAGGUUAAAAUUAGAGCCUGUUUUUAAAUAUUAGAUUUAGAUCAGCUUAAUCAGUAAUGUAAUCUUAAUUAUAUAUAGAAAGUGUUAACUACUAAUGGAAUAAUAAUCCAAAUGGGAUAUGGUUGUGGGAAGUUGUUCUUUGUUCCCACUUUUUCCAAUCAAGUUAGGUCUUGUAUUCUUCGCUUUUUCUUCAACAAGUUUUCAUCAGCCUAACCCUAUCUUCUUCAUCUCCCCAAAAUUCUUCUUUCUUCUUUUGCAAGGUGCAACAUUUGGAGGUUAAAUAUUAAAUCUCUCUAACUUAGCGAUACAAUAAUUAAAUUUACCUUCAACUAUUAGUUUAGUUUAAGUUUUUUUUCAUGAAUUGACGGUUUAAUAUAGUAUCAGAGAGGUCCUUGCAUUGUCGUUUCCUUUCCAAUUAAAAUUGAUUUUCACUUGUUGGACAUUUCUACAAUAAUUAAAUUUGUCUUUAACCACUAGCUUAAGCUUUUAGAUGAAUUGGUUGUUUAAUAGUUUACACCUAUAUUAGUUUAAGUUUUUGGAUAGACUGAUGGUUUAAAAUGGUAUUAGAGAAUCCCAGAAUUCUUUGAGAUUAUUUUCUUAGCCUCGUGUUUAAGUACUUAUCAUGUUAUUUCCUCCUCAAUUAAUAUUAAUUUUCACUUAUUAAGUCUUUCUUGAUAAGUGUUAGAUAUUAAAUUUGUUUUCACCUAUCAACUUAGUGAUUUAAGGUAUGUAGUCAAAGUUUGGCCAAGUUAGAUAAAAUUAGUGUCGAUCUUUGUUACGGUAGGUAGAAAUUAAAAUUAAUUAACAAUAUUGACAUUCAAACCACUCUUAUUUUCUUUUGGUUCACACAUUCCUACAACUCAUACCUUCUCCUACCUAAGUCACUAACCACACUUCUUAUUCUCACCCACCUAAUAGCAUUAACAUUAUUUACUUGUGUAUUAGGCAUGUGAUACGUUGAAUCACUUGUUACAGUUCCUGACUUUCUUUAUCAUAAGAAAAGUUUGUUGAUUUUUAUAAAAAAAAUUACAUUCUUUUGCAAAUUUGCAAUUUGAAUUUUAUACCAUAAUUUUAAAAUAUGCGAUGUUGAAAAACUACAAAAUAACGUAUUUUUUGUAUUAUGUAUGACUCCCACUCGUCUAUGUACAUCCUAUGCACUUCAAACGUGUCAAAGAGUUCAUACAUUGACAUAGGAACACUCAUUUGAAUUUUGAUUGACUCAAAAUCUAACGAGUCUUGAUUAUCUGUCAUUCAUAUGUGUUAAUUUAACUUUAGAGAUGUUUUCAAACUCUUCAAUAAACCUUAUUUUGAAUUUCCAUCAUGCACUAUCUAGCUUCUACUAAGCAUGUCCCUAACACUUCCCUCUCAACCUCUACUUUAACUUGUUGAUUGACAUGACAUAGACAUGCUUUUCAACGUAUGUUUCUUUCAUGUUUCCUCCCAGAAAUCAAUCAGUGAAGGAAAACGAAGGCCUUGGGCCUUGGCUAGAAGCAGUUAUCUACCCUAGGCUUAGCUUUUCUUCUGCUACUUCUCGUGCAACCACUUAUUUUACCGAUCUCACAACCUCUCUUUCUAAUAGCAUGGACAAUCUCGCAGCUUUAAUUUGCACCUUUCCACUCUGUAUUAUGAAUCCCCCUCUUAUCUUUCUCUCUCUCCCUCCUUGGUCUCGCCCUUUUUCUCUCUUCGGCGAGGAGUAGUCUUAACCCAUUAUCAAAUGAAUUAGCAUGUGUGCAUAAGAUAGUGUUCUAAUGCUACCUAUAAUUAAGUAUCAUAGUUAUAUGUUGUUGAAUAAAGGAUAUAUUGGAUAAGUGCAUGAAUGUGUUAAAAUAUUACAAUUGAUCUAGAGAUUAUUGAGCUAGAUCAAACAUAAAUUUAAUCAAAUAUGAACUAGUUAAAAAGUAAUUAUCUUCGCACUGACACAUGUUGCCAAAGAAAAUACAAAGUCCAAAGUGCUAUCUGCCCAAAUGUGUUGAAUAGUUUCAAAUAUAACCACACCCAACUAAAAAAGUCUGGAAAAAUUAACUUAGUUGAUCACAUCCAUCAAAUUAAACCGGUGAACCUAAUGUGUUCAAACUUCAAAGAAAUUAAAUUCUUGUGUAUGAUAUGUUGAUGAGUAGGUAUAACACCUUGAUGAGUAGGUACAACAAGUCAAAGUGUCAAGCCGAUUUGGGUCGGUGUAACAUGUGUCUUAUCCUGUUCCAUUUAAAGUUGACAACAUCAUUUUAUUGUUAGGUUAUACAGGGUAACUAAAUACUCUCUCAAUUAUUCCUUGUUUUAUUACAUUGUUAUCUUUUAAAAAUAAUAAAGGAUAUAUAACAGUAUUUAAGAAUAUUUGUGAAGCAGAAUCACGAUGGAAAUUAAUUUAAAAAGAGAUGUAUUUAUUAAAAGAAUCUCAAUUGUGUAAUACACUGUCUAAGCUUAAAAAAAUAGAUUGAGUGUAUCCAAGACCAACUGAAAAGAUAUCUAAUUAAGUUUCGUACAACACCAAAAAGAUCUUGAAACUCAGAUUAAAGAAAAGACCUUCACUUUAAUAAUUGACCACUCACAUAAGCUCCACCACUAGAAUUAGAAAAUAGGAGGAGAAAAAAAUUAAAUAUUCACAAAUUUCAUAAUGGUGUCUAAUCUUCUUCUUCUUUUUUUUUUCCUUUUAAACUUUAAAUUCACCCAUUAUAUAUCAAUUGAGUUAUGGUAUGAGUUAGUUAUUAAAUGUAAAAGAAUGUUCUUGGUUGGUAUACCUAUGAGUGUUUAAAUUUUGAUUUGAUAAGAACAAAAUAUUAGAAAAGGGGUGGCAGGAGCAGGGGGACAUGAUCUCCUAAAAUCAGAGAUUUUUCACUUUAAUUAUAAGUUUAUAACAUGGAAGAAAAAUAAUGAUAAUGAUAAUAAUAAACAAGGCCAAAUUAAAGAAGGAAAUUACAGAAAGAGACAAGGAGUUUUCAAAACUUGGGAGCAAUUCUGAACAAAACUAUCUGAAUCACAGUGGUAAUUAAGGAAAUUCCUCUCCCUACUCACAAGACUUGGAGGAAGCACAACCUCCAUGGAAGCUCCCAAUAGAUACCGUUGCGUGUGGCUCUGGCAGGUGUUGCAAAGCAAGCACCGGACGUGCCGCAGGGCCAAGAAAUUCGCGCUGUGAACCGAUUUGUCGCACUUCCCGCACAAAUACGCCUCGUCGGCUUCGCAAUACAGCGACGCCCUGGAACCGCAUAGCUCACACCGUACAGGAUCGCCACCGCCGGCUGCCCCGUCAUCGGUGGUCCGACGUUGCCGGACGGCGACUUGGGUCGUUUCUUCCUGUUCUACACCUUUGCACAUGAUUGUUUAAUUUGUUGGAAAUGGAAGCUUGAUUGUCAAGGAAAUGGGGAUUUUGAGGGUGUUGAUUUAUAUAUAGAAGGUUGGUAAAUAGGACAAGAAGGAAAAGCAAGUUUCAUUAUUUAUAAUCAAUCAUACCCUUUAUGUUAUUUUUUUAUUUAGAUAUAAAAUAAAACAUUAUAAAAUUUUACAAUUCAA